GGUAUGCUGUCCAGGUGAUUAUAUCAGCUGGCUUACACACCAACCAAAUUCCCACUAUAAAGCCACUGCCCUGUGGGUAGAACCCAAAGGCAAAUGUGCCAGAAGGGGAGCGCCAUGAAGUUGGUUGGACGUUGGAGGAGAUUGAAGAACCUAAUCUUAUCAAGGUCGAGUGGUUCUGCUGGGAACUUGCAGGCUGGUAAAUACAAAUUACCAACAAAAACAAAGAAGCAUAAGCGAAAGCCAUUAGAUGAAGAAUGAAAGAUAGAUGAUAUUGUUGUCAUAAUGACUUUAAAGUUCAAGAAGCAAAAUGCUAAAGCUAUGGCUUGACCAUUGUUUCUUCCUUGGGGUACGACUAUUAAUCUAAGAUAUUCGUGAAAGGAGGCCCAACCCUGGUAGACUUGACUUGCAUUCAACUACCAACAAAUAUCAUAAAAUGUUUUAUUUUUAGAGAAUAAUUGUAGUAUUUUAUUAGUUAUUUUUUAAAUUUAUUUAAAAUAAUUUGACAGACACCAAGAAAAAUAAAAUAAAAUUUAUGUCUCAUUAAAAAUAAUAAAAAUAACCAAAAAAAAAGAAAGCUGCAUAAGCGAAAGCCAUAAGAUGAAUUAUGGAAGAUAGAUGAUAUUGUUGUCCUUGUCACUGCUCACAAGUCUCGAAUGACUAUAAAUUACAACAAGGAAAAUGCUAAAGCUAGCACAACCCAAAGGCAAAAGGCUGUUUUUUUUUUUUAUAUAUAGCUUUUUGAUAUUAAAAAAAAAAAUUAUUUUAAUAUAUUUUUGAGAAAAAAAUAUUAUUAAAAAAAUCUUAAAUCACAAUGCUAGACGCACAUCCAGUCUAUUUAUGGGGACAUUUCCACGUUGUAUUCCAGUAAAAAUAAAGACAUUAUAAGAUGAAUCAUUUUUCCUUGCAAGGUAAAAGACAUAAAUUUCUUCACCUGUAUUGUAAGAAGAAGAGGUUGCACAUAUGACUUUAAUUACUGCAGAAAGAUUUUCAGGACAAAAGAGAUAAGGAUAAUUGAAUUAAGCAAGACUGAUUGAAAGCGGUUGAGAAAAUUGUCGAUGUUGAAUUAAGCGAACAACACGGCUUGUUGACAAAAUCAAAAACCUGUCCCUUUCUGACAUGUAUGGUCUCAAAAAAAGUCUUUUAUAUAGUUGAUUUUCCAGUAUUGUUUGUCUAGCAAUAGUGUUUGAUGACUCUGUGCCUUGCAUGUGUUGAACCUAAACUCAAUCUAGAAGGUCAAGGAAGGCAACCACUGCCCAGCCAGCCACCAGCUGCCAUCGACCAGCCGCCAGCCACCAGUCGCCAGUCGCCUUCACACCCGCAGCCGCCAGCCGCCUUCACACCUGGAAAGUUUGAAUUUUGUAUUCUGAAUUCGUGUAUAAAUAGGGUGCUAAGCUAAUGUUAUUUUGUGUGGAGAGAAUAGAGAGAAACACUAGAGAGAAAGAGAGGGUGUGUAUUGUAAGUUGUUGUGUUGUUGUAAGCUUCUUGUUUUUGUAAUAAAACUGUGUUUUAUCCCCUCUGAGUGUUUCAAAGCCACCACUAGUGGUUUCUCCCACCAACAAUUGGUAUCAGAGCCUUGUUCGUCAGAAAAUAGAAGUGUUUUGGGGUAUAUCCGAAUUUUCAAAGUUGUCAAAAACAAGUUUUGAUCACUCCACAGUGUAGAUCUACUCCGUACGAACUCACUAGUGUAAAAAUCAACUUGAUCGGAGACCGCGGUGAGCCACACGCACCGCCUGAAGAUUCUGCACAAACGCCCACGCGCGCCAGAGGUAGACGACGAGUGUCGUCCACGCGUGCCAUAUUUGAGCCGAGCCGAGUCGCUUAAGCCAAGUCCUAGCCGAGCCGCAAGCCGAGUUCAGUUGAGCCGUCCUCCGUGCCGAGCCGAGCCGCUUUCCAGACGCAGCCGAGCCGACUAAAUAUUCCCAGAAUCCGUACAGAAUUGGUUUUUUGACCGGUUCACCCAUUUUCUGACCCGAUUUCUACAAAGUCAGACCGGUUCCCUAUUAUUUGGACCAUUUUGGAUCGAUAUACAAUGUCCGUUUGUCCAAAUUCGACUCCCAGAAGGUGAUAUAGUCAUUCAAAAAGCAAAAUGACUACUGAAAGUACACAAACACUCAUCUCGAAGCUGACCAAAGACAACUACGAUAGUUGGUGCAUCAGAUUGAAGGCAUUUCUUGGUUCACAAGAGUGUUUGGAUAUUGUACAAAAUGGUUUUGAAGAACCAGAGUCCAAAGAAGCAGCCACCACCAGUGGUUUCUCCCACCAACAACAUGUAGGCCGUGCCAAUAACUUAAGCCACACAGUUUUCUUUCUCUUCUGCCUAGUGAGAGAUGUAAUUUGAGAACAUACAUAUCAGCAGGAUAGUUCCUGCUAAGAGGAAGCCACUGAGAGCUCUUACAAGGUUUUAUUUACAAAUUGCUUAACAGGUAAUAAGGUGAAAAAAAAAGAUUAAAUCGAGAAAACUGGAAAAAAAAUAACUGAAAAAAAUCAAACUAUGAAAAAAAAUGAUCAAAUUGAUUAAAAUAUUUUAAAAAAUAUUCGGUUUGGUUUAGUUUUAUAAAAUUGAAACCGGAAAACCUCAAAUGAACCAAACCAGUUUAGUUAAAAAUAAACCGAAUAAAACUGAAAAAUUAAAAAAACCGAAUCAAACCGAAACUGAAACUCAUUAGAAAGUCCAAAAAAGCCCCCAAAAAAUAAUAUAUUUUUGGUUUAAAUAUAAAAUAACCGAACCAAAAUAGAACCGAACCAAAACAAACCGAACAAAACUGAAACCGAUUGGUUGGGUUUUGAUUUUUGAUAUAAAAUAACCGAACUGAAACCGAUUGGUUGGAACAGGUUUCAGUUUUGUUUUUGUAUUUUAUAAAAUUUUAAUUUGAUUGUUUCCCUUCUUCUAGUUAAGUUGAAGAUAACCAAAUAACUGUUAGCCAACAAUGUCCACUGACCUAGUCUUCAGGAAGAUUGGUUGCUAAUGUAGUUAGGAGUCUGGUUUUGAAUUUGAAUUAGUUUUAUCUUAUGUUUCGGUUUGUUAGUUCUCCUUCUAUGAAGGAGUUUAUCCUGUGUUUUUGUUAUUCAAAGAGUUGUAUAAAUAACUCCAUUGGGUUAAUAAUAUUACAUAAUUUCAAAUCAUUCUUAUUGUUAACAUGGUAUCAUAGCUUUCUUAAUUUUUUUCUGCUUUUUUAUCAUCAUGAUUGAUCCCACUAGACAAGAUAUAGCCGGCCUACACAACAUGGUGACCAUAAAUAUCACGGCACAAGGUCCUCUCAAGCUCACAAGCUCCAACUAUCUGUCAUGGAAAGCUGCAAUUCCAGACACUUUUUAUUGGUUAUGAUCUCCAACAUUUUUGUAAUGUUUUGAAUUAAAAGAGUAGGAAAAGGCAACCAAGCCCUUGGUGGUUUAGAAGUAAGUAUAAUUUAAUGAGGAGUAUUGUGCUAAUUGAACAAAAGUUGAUAAAUAUAAAUAGAAAAAAAAAACAAAAAGAGACCUGAAAUUAAGAUUGAAAAAAACUAACGGGAGAAGAGAAGAAAAGGGGAAGAAGAAGAAGAGAAAAUAGGAAAACUAGAAGGGAAAUAGAAAAGGAGUUGAAGGAAAUAAGUUUAAAGGUAAGAUUUAGGUUGUUUAAUGUGUAUAAUAUGUUAUUUGAAAUUUAAUUUCGGUUUUGAUGACUGUUAGGGUUUUGAAGAUUAUGUUUUGGGUUUGAUUGAUGAAUUAAUUUGAAUGUUAGGGGUUGAUUGUUAUGGGUAAUUAAUUAUUUAGUUGAUUAUAAAAGAUUAUGAUGAUUUUGAGUUAUGAAUUGUGUAAAUGGUGAAAUUUGUGUUAGAAAUUUGGAGAAUAAUUGUAGUAUUUUAUUAGUUAUUUUUUAAAUUUAUUUAAAAUAAUUUGACAGACACCAAGAAAAAUAAAAUAAAAUUUAUGUCUCAUUAAAAAUAAUAAAAUAUCUUUACUUAUAAUUUUUCUUUCUAAAUUAUAUCUUUUUUUUAAAUGGCUCUUUCAACAUCUAGAAUUCUGAAAUGUUUCGUGAAUCAGUCUUGUUUUUGUCAAGAAAUGUUUUUUUCUCCACCAAUAUUUAUUGUAAAUAGGUUUUUAGAUACAAUAUAACCUUGAUAAAUUAAUACUUAAUACCUUCAAAACCUUUAUUAAAUAAUAUUUUUAUUUGUCCCCAAUUUAAAUUUAAGAUUUGAAUAAUAUCUCGACUAAUUAAUAAAUUUUUAUGGUUCAGAAUAUUAAUUUAUAAAGGUUUAACUAGAUAUUGUUCAAACUAGGGCAUAGGUACAUAUAUACCUGACACAUAAAAUCUCAAAAGCUAGAGUACUAUAUCAUGAGUCAGAUUUUUUUUUUUUGGGAUUGUUAAUGUGUUUUAAAAAGAAAAACUGAAUUGGGAAUAAUCUAAUAUGACUUGAUUAUUUUAGCAAGUCAAAAUAUAAUUUAUAUAAUUGAAAAAAAUAUAGUUUGACUGAAAAAAAUAUUAAGACAACAUUUUUUUUCUUUAAAUAUUGAGAUGAUAAUAUAUUAAAUCGACCUGGUUCAAUUUAGGUUAACAUGUAAAAUUUAUUAUCUGGGUUAUGAGAAUGUGAAAACUUUAUAGAAACUAAAUAAAUAAAUAUUUUAGAGUCUAAUUCUCAAUCAACUCAAUGUUGAAUGAUGAAAUUGAAAAAAAAAUUAAUUAAAAAUAAACAAAAAAAACCAAAAAAAGAGAAAAAAAAAUAAAAAGCAGUACUGUUCCAAUGUAUAUUACUCCGUGAGAAGGGGGACAAUGAUUUCCCUUGCUCAAUUAAUUUUUGUUAAUGUUAACAGGAUCCAAGAAGUGUCCAAAAAUGUAAAGGCAAUUGAAAAUUAGCAAGUUUGAUUUAUAUAAAAACUAAUAAGAAGGAAAGUAACUCCAAUAGGAAUAGAUUUAGAGUUAAUGUGUUAGGUAAUGUAAUGUAAUUUUUUUAAAAAAGUGAUUUUCAAUUAAAAAUAUAUCAAAUUGAUAUUUUUCAUAAUUGUUUUUUUAUUUUUAUCAUCAACACAUCAAAUAUAUUGAAAAACAUCUAAAAAAAUUAAUUUAAUAUCUUUUCAAAUAAAAAAUAAUUUGAAAAGUAAAAUCUAAAAAGAAAAGUGAUUCCAAUAUGAAUGAAAGCAAGAAUGGAAAUGUUUCAUCCUUUCCGUUUGAUUUUAUAUUAUAGUCCUUCCAACUAAAAGCAUUGGUAAAAAAAUACAUCAAGUUUACGAACUUUCCUACCUUUCAAUUAUAGAAAAGGAUUAUUUUUCCAUCCUACCUUUGCUGACCAUUUCCUUUCUAGUUUCAUGCAUCCACUCUCCUAACCUAACACUAAAAUAAAGCAAACUUAUAGGGAAAUUUCCAUGCGGUAUGUCAUAGCCCCAGAAAGUUCCUAGUUGCUUAUAACAAGAAUCAUGUGAUAUUUUUUUAUGCAAGACAAUGAUGGAUUGAUAUAACUAGAAUUUAUAUGCAAGUUCAAUGUAUUUUAUUUAUGAUGAUGUUCCAGAAAUGAAUAAGCUCAGUAACAAGGUUUCUGAGUGUGUGGGUAGUAGGUUAUCACAUGAUCAUGUUAGUAUUCUAUUCUCAGGAACUGUGAGAGUAGAGGAUCAGUGGUAGAGUAUUGGUUUUUUGCAAAAUAAUCCAUUUUGAUGGGAUUUUAUGACUCUCUAAUGAUUAAGUUAGUGACUUUAUGAUGAAACAUUAUAAUAAAUGAGCAUUAAAUUCUAAGAACAAAAUAAUUUUUUAUUAAUUUGUGUGUGAUAAAUUCCAUGAGAAUAAACCAUAAGAGAAUCAAGAUUGUGAACCUUUUAUCUAGAUGAUUUAGAGAGUAUUUAGAGUCUUAGUACUUUAAACCUUCUUGUUUUUACUGAAAGGGUCAAAAGUAUUUUCCUUUUGAGUAUACAAGUGAGAAAAAAAAUCCUUUACAUUAACAUUAAUGUUUGCAUUUAUUUCUAGAGAUCUAAGAUGGCAUGAUAAUUCAUUUAUCCAAUAGUGAGGUGAGAAGUUGUGUCCUUUAUAACCCCAUCCAUUUAUUUUUUUCUUUCAUUUACUUUUCGUAGCCUUGGUAAAAACUGAUCUGAAGAUUUCUUGAGUAAGUUUACCUUGUCAUUCCCAAUAUUUUUACACUAUGUUUUCUUCUUCUUCUUCUUCUUCUUUAAUAAACACACAUGGACUUUCAUAGGAGCAGUUUCGAUCCUAAGAGCAAAGGUAUCAAUUCUUUUGGUGAUGAGUUCCCGUUUCAAACAAAAAUUGGAGGGAGUAGUAGGGGACAGGGUUUCAUUAGAUUGUGGAUGGUUCUUAUUAUUAGAAAAUCCCUCCUUCUAAUGCCUUGAGUGAUCCACAAAGGAGAGAAAGGCUACCUCAAACCCUUGAGGAUGAUGCUUUCAGCACCUUGAAUAUUCUGGAGGUGGCCUUUGCCAACAGCAAACAUCCUGGAGCAUAUAUGUCCCAAUUGCCCUCUAAAAAAAAGAGGAUCAGUAAAGAGACAUUGGCUUCUACUUGGGGGUAUUUUAAGAUUACAAUCUCCAUAUGCAUGUAUGAGUUAGUGUACUCCAUCCUUCUUUGAGGGUUUGUGAGGGACAUCUUCAGGUAUUAUAGAUUAGGUUUUAGGCAACUGUACUCUAGUAGAUGAGUGGUUUUGUCAGCUUUUGACAAGUUUUUAGGCUUGUCUAUAUCAAACCUACUAUAAACCUUUUUAAGGCAUGUUACUAGCUGGUUAUAGGCACUAAUGGUGGUAAUGAUAUCCAUGGGUUUUUUAUUAUCUUUUCUAAUAGACCCACUAAUGGUGGUAAUGAGAUGCACAGACACAAUUAACCCCUAAAAAGGCAUGCACCAAAUUUAGGGUUGUUCCAUUACUGAACGGUACCUCCUUGUAAGGUAAGCAAAGGCAUUGUUUUAGUCUGGAUGAGGAGGAAACACGUGUAGUGUUAGCCUUUCCCUUGAAUCAGUAUCAAGUCAAUAGGAUGGCCAAAGGUCAGUACCAAGACUCAUUGGGAAGUUUCAAACCAUUUUAUCUUUUGUUUUAUUGAUGUAAGUUCAAUUCUGAUUUUAUUUCUACACAGGGUUAACAGCUGAAGGAGAAGGCAAGACUUCAACUAGAUCUUUAAAGGGAAGCUUAUUUGCAACAAGGAGGGGGUCCUCAUCUUUUGGAGUAAGUGGAAUAACUAUCGGAGAAGAAAUAGAACAUGACCCUAUUAUCAUAGAUGGGCUUUUCAUUCUUAAGGACCUUGUUCUUGAGGAAACAACAACAAAGGCUAGCAUCCUUGCAGAAAUAGAGGCUAGGAGUAGUUGUACAUCCUUAGUUGGGGGUUAAGUAGAUCAAAACAACCCUGAAGUAAUUGGGGGUGCCAUCCCUCAUUUCAAAAGGAGAAUGGUCUUCAUCUUUGUAGAGAUUACUAUACAUGUAUCAAUGUAAAAGCUUCUUUAGAGAUGUUGAUCCUCCUUAUUCAUCUCCAACCUUGGCUGCAAAGGUUACAUUAGUCGAUUCCUCUACCUAAGAUCAGAGGUUUAAGGACUCUUUUGCUUACCUCAUCCUCGGUUGAGCUCCCUUCGCUGAGAAAAAAAGGCAGGCUAUAGAGGCCAUUGUAAGUGAAAGGUCUAGGCUUAGUGAGACUGGCUUAGAAGUGGUGAGGAAAUUAGAGAAGAUUCUUACCAUCCCUUCAAACAUUUUAAAGAUGUUCAAUGAGAUCUAUAACCACCAUCUGGCUUUGAUCGGUUAAAUGGCUUUUAAUGUAAGAAAAGUUUCUUUUUCACCUUUUUGUUUGGUUUUGUGACCAUUAUUCCUAACACUUGUUCUUGGUAGACUUUUAUGAUGCGCGUCCAUUUCAAGAGGCAUUGGUUGACUUAGAGGAAUUAUAUAAAGGAGGCUAUUGCCAAACAUAGAAAAGAUCAUACUGCCUUGUCAAAGGCUAUUGUGGAGGCCGAGCUGAGGGAUCUCAAAAUGGCCUAUACAUCAUUAAAGGAUGAUAUACAAGAUGUUACCUUUCAUUUGGGUUCUACUAAACAAUAAUUUCAUGAGGCUUAUAGUGAAAUAAAUGCCUUGAGGUAGGCGAUUAUAGAGUUGAGGGCAUACGGGGGUGUUCUGUGUAAGGAGCUCCAAGCUGCUAGAGAUGAAGUCCAAAGCUCCCGUGUGAGGCUGGAUGCUUUGAAUAAUUCUCCUAGAGAGUUCUAGAAGUUUUUUGGAGGAUCUGUAGUUUUGUCCAAGGUGGUUGGGGACAAGAUCUUCUUGGCUAUGUCUAAUCUAUCAUUCUUCAACAAAUCUAGAGAUAUGCAAGUGGACUUUAGUGAUGUCUUCCAUCUAGUCUAUGUGCCUGAUUUUGAGGAUGUAUUCCCUGUCUUAGCUGCUUUUGCCCAACAUAGAUAUUUGAGGCCCUCUUUUUUUUUCACAACCCUGGUCCUGUGGGGUUCAUCAAUGUAAUAUUUUUUUAUUAUAAAUUUAACUUUUACUUUACAUUUCCAUGUUGACUUGUGCGGUUUGUAUGGAUCUAACAUCUGUAGAAAAAUAUUAAGGGUAAUUCUUUAGACAAUGUGUGGGUUCAACACCCGUACUUAGAAGAAUAUUUAUCAAACUUUGAUAAGAAUCGAGCUAUGAAUUUUACUUAUCUUUGGUAGGAUUUGCCCCAUGCUUGGAAUAAAAGAGAGAGACUUUGGUUGCAAGUAUAUCUUUAUGUUCCUAACAGACUAUUGAGACGCUCUAUGACAUUGUGUAAAUUGGUCUUAUUGCAUUAUGGAGAUGGAAGUAAAAUUAUUUGCAACUAUUGAGACCUUGUCCAUCCUAUCCUUGGAGUGUGUGCAAUCGCACUAGGAAGAUCAUAUCAAUCCCUUCCAAGGUAAAUUGUGUAUUCACACUAGAGAGACAGUUGAUCCUUUCCAAGGUAAAUUCUGCAAUCGCACUAAGGAGACUGUGUCUAACCUAUCCUUGAAAAAUUAUAGGGCUAUUGCCCUAACAAGAUUGUAUUAACCCUCUUUGUUGAGGCCUUGUCAAUCCCAUCUUUGGAGAGUGUGCAAUCGAUUAAGAAGACCACAUCAAUCCAUUCCAAGGUAAAUUGUACAAUCGUAUUAGGGAGGCAUUUAAUCCAUUCUAAGGUAACUUAUACUAUUGCACUAAGGAGACCAUGUCUAUUCCAUCAUUGAAAGGUUCUGGGGUUGUUAGCCACUUUUAUCCCAUAAUUGAAAAUGAGUUUCCUUAGUAGAUGUCUUCUGGGUGGUCUUUGUUAGCCCAUAAAAUUUCAUUUAACAGCUCUGUCUAUUUUGACUUAGCCUCUGUUAUUUUUUUUAUCAAGCCCAUUAAGCAAAAUACAAUUGGUAAGUUUGGUUUGACCAUAUAUUUGUGGAUAAGAUACUGAAGAGAAUCGAUGGUCGAUAAGAAGCCUUUGACAUUACUAUUUAUCUUGCGAUUGUUGAACUGUGUCCCAUUAUCAGUGAUGAGGACCUUUGGAGUCCCAAACCUUCAAAUGAUGUUCUUCCAUAUAAAAAAAAUGAUUUUGUUAAUGAUGAUGUCUGCCAGAGUUUAUGUUUUAACCUAUUUGGUGAAGUAAUCUAUAGUUACUAGUAUGAACUGCCUAUUUCUCGUGGCUUUUAAGAAAUGAACCAAUAUGUCCAUUCCCCACUAGGCGAAAGACUAUGAAAAAGAUUUGGUGGUCAAUCUUGGAAAGGGUUGUUUAAAAACUAAUAUGAAUUUUUGACACAGAUCAUACCGCUUCACCAAGUUGGUAGCAUUGCUGACAAUCGUUGGCUAAUAAAAUCUUGCUUUAGUGACCUAAGUUGAAGAGCUCUGGAGCCGGUGUGUAGACCAUAGAUUCCCCUUUGAAUUUCCCACAAAACAUAAAUGCUUUUUGUUGGGGACAAACAUUUUAACAAAAGAGCUAGGGCAUAUUGUCUGUACAAAAUUCCAUUAACUAGGCAAUACCCUGCUGCUUGUCUAGUUAUAUGAAUGACUUUAUUUCUAUCCAGGGGUAGUUCUCAUAUGUGUAGGUAAUCUUCUAUAGGAGUUCUCUAAUCAUCCUCUAUAUAGACUGAAGGGGUCAUCGACCCUUUUUCUAUACUAAGGUUCUCUAGGAGUUCAAUUCAUACUUCUACAGAGAGCUCAACUGAAUUAAAGCUUGCCAACUUGGACAAGAGAUCCACCCUAGUGCUAUUUUCUCUUGGAAUUCAAUCAAUUAUAAUUUCCUUACCCUCAUCUUUUCUCUAGAGAUGUGUUUGGACUCUCUGUAGAUAUUUUUUCAAGGUAAGAUCUCUAGUUUUAAAAGUCCCUUGAUGUUGUCCUACUAGUAAUUAGGAAUCAUUGUGGUCGUGAAGGGGAAAAUCUUUCAAGGCUUCUUCUAGACCUAAUCCCGCUAGAAAACUUCAUAUUCUGAUAUAUUGUCAGUAGCUGAGAACUCAAAUUGAAUGUUGUACUCAAAGACUUGCUUAUGGAGGCUCACAAGUAUUAUUCUAGCAUUAUUAUCUUCAGAAUUGGAAGACCCAUCGAUAAAUAGUUCUCAAUGCAGGUCGAUCACCUGAAUUUUAGGGUGACCACCUACUUAGUUGCUGGCAUAAGUUUGUCUUGGUCCUUAUUCCAAAAGGAGUAUUUGACUAUGAAAUCUGCCGAGGUUUAUUCUUUAAUGGUGGGUCUUGGCUGGUAUAGGAGUCCAUACUCUCUUAAUUCAAUUACCCAUUUCACCAGGCGUCCAUACAUGUCUGGCAUGUAGAGGAUUUGUUGUAGAGGUUAAUCCAUCAAUACUAUAAUUUGGUGAGCUUGGAAGUAUGAUUUUAAUUUCCUGGAGGUACUCAACAAAGCUAAAAUCACCUUUUUUUUUCCCUUCAAAUAUCUAAUCACAAUGACAUGAUCAAAUAAUUGAUGUCUUUUUUCAAGUGCAAGAGUGUCAAAGUAAUAAAUAACCCGAUAAGACUAGGGUCGAUCCACAUAAAGGUUAAGGAUAUAGAAAAACAAAUAAAUAAACAAAUAAACAAAGUUUAAACUUGUUUUUUUUACUCAACUAGAAACCACAAACAUAAGAGGAUCUAAUCAAAUGAUUUAUCAUUAAUGACUCAAUCUAAUUUAUUAAUAUGAUCAUAUUAAUUAUCUUACUUGAGUAAUGCCAAUACUUGUAAAUGUUGUCAAGUAUUCAUGGUGCUAACUUAUGUCAACAACAAAUAAAGAUCCUUUUAUAGCACAUGUGUUGGUUAUCCAUACAUUAGUCUAUGAAAGAAUCAAGUAUUUAUUGUGCCAAGGAUUGUACACCACGAAUCUAUACUCCCUACUUAACAAGUAGGGUAUUAAAGUUGAGUAACAUAACAAUUAUAAAACAUGUUAAUAACAAACUUUCUUGAAUAUAAACAUUAAAGUCCAUGUUGAUUUUGUACUAUAUUUAUUUUCACACCAUUAGUGUAACCUUUUCACAUUGGUAAAAAUAAACUUAACUAAACAUAAUAUAAAAAAGAAAAACAUAAAUAAAUAAUAUAAGAACAUAGUUAUUGUCGCACCCUCACAGCGACCCUCGAUUGAUUUUGUUUUUUUUUUUUUUUGUUUUAUAAGGGAGUUGCCACUUAGUAUUUUGAUCACUAGGAACCCUAACUGAUCUUUUAGAGAUUCUAAGGCAAGGGAUUGGUUGCAUAAAGGGAAGGUAUUAGCACCCCUAGUACGCCUUACCUAAGGUAAGCUGUUUGAUGUUUGGUUUGCUUUAUAAUUUUUAUGGUGAUGGUGUUUUCUAAUCCCAUCGGUUUUCCUAGGUUUGAUUCAAACUAAAUUUAUUAAGAUAGAAAUCCAAGGAGAUUCCAUGUGCUUUAAAAGCUCAUUUUUUCCUUAGUAUUUCAAAAGUUUGCGACUCGUAAAUCGCAAGGAGGAGGGACAAAAAUUUAGAAAUCUAGGGUGCUUUAAAAACCUAUUUUUGCCUUAGUGUUUUAUACUCUCACGGCUCGUAAACCGUGGAGUAAAAAAAAUUGAAAUGUCCUUGAUUAUAAUCAAGGCUUCUUUCAAGGAUGUGUAAUGACUUAUUAUUCCUAGAAAACUAUUUUGGAUAUUUACCACUUAGGGUUUCUUUAUCCAAAUAUUAACAGUGAAUAAUAACAAGUUAUUCCCAAUAAUAUUUUGGAUAUUUAUCCCUUUAGGAUUUCUUUAUCCAAACAUUAAAGAUGAAUAAUAGAUGAAUUCCCUCCAAAAUAAGAUUUUUUUUAUUUUUUUGGAAUAUUGGCUAAUACCCCUUGAAGUUUUACAAACAUGUUGUAAAAUCCAGAAAUGCAAGAAAAUGGUUUUUGUUUUGUUUAAGAAAUCCAUGUGAAAAUACAUUUUCAAAACUUUGAAUAUUUUUUUAUGUAAAAAUAAAUGUUCAAAACAUGUUAGGGUAUUGGUCGUAUGCAACACACAAGAAAAUAUUUUUUGAUAUAUAUGUAAUAUUUGUCACAGUGCGUCAAAAACCGGGUAUUCUAAACAUGAGAUUGAUAUUUUUUUCUUACAACAUAAAAAUUCAGACCUUAAAAUAAAUAUGCAGAAAAUCAUAAAUCUCUUUCUCUUUCUUUUAUUUUUUUUUUUAAAGAAAAAAAAAGGAGGUCUGGCGGGGUCACUUAGGCCUAAGCAAGUGACUUGGUUGGAUAUAAAAGGGGCGCAACCCUCUUUUAUGAAUGGAGAGCUACUAUUCAAGUGAAUUAAUUCACUUGAACAGUACAGACACAUUUACAACACAAAUGGAAAGAGGCCACGCUAAUAGUGCUAACACAAAGAAAAAGAAAGCAUGCAAUAGGUGAAGAGAAAACAAACCUAGAAACGAAGAAACUAUUGUGGUGUUGAAAGAGUGAUGGUUGCUUGGUCUGUGUCCGUCCUUCUUCUUUUGUUCCAUGUUUGGGUCUGUUUAUUUCCUCUCUUUCUUUACCCUACGUCCCUGUCACUCUCUCUAGUGAUUCCUGCACUGUCUUUCCCCAUUUCUGCAGAUUUUAUUUGUAGAAAAAUGGAGCAAAGACGCGUUUCUUCUCUUCUUUUUUUUAUCCCUCUCCCAUUCCCUCUUCUCUCUCAUUUUAUUCCCUCAGCAGAAGAGGCUUAUAUAGCCUAACAUGCAACUCUAUUUAGGAAAGAUAUAUUACAUUAACUUUAGGGUGUAAUCUUGGGUGAGCAGAAAUAGGAAACCAGAAUAUUUAAUUUUGAUUAUGUGAUCAGCAGUGAUUUCUUUCCAAGUUAGAUGGUGCUGCUCCUUUCUUUCCUUCCAUAGGGCCAGUUGCUCCCUUUGAAAUGAGGCAAUAAAAACGUGGUCUUCAGCUCUCCAUUCAAGCGAGAGAAACAUGGAAACCAAACCAGAAAUUUCAGAUAAAAAAGGAAAGAAAGAAAAUGGCUAGCUAUGCAGGUAAAAACAUGUUUUCUUCAAUGUCUUCCUUCGGCAGAAUUCCUUUCUAUUUUUUAUCUUCAAUCAUCCUCCUUAUUUUAGCAUUUUUUUCCAUUUGGUCCUUGGUCCAAAAAAAGGAUUCAAGUUGGCCUGCAAUUGGUCUUCAAUCUUUAAGCAUCUUGCAAUUGUGUCCCUGCAAACUCGAGCAAAAAAAAUCCUUCUCGCGGCAGGAAUCUCUACUUCCACACUAGAUAUUCAAACAGGAAUAUCUUGAGUUUCUGAUAUCGAAAUUAAGCAAUUCAAAAGCCCAAAUUUAUCUACGCGUCCAGGACUACAACUUUGAUGAAGGAGUUAAAGUGAGAUAAAAUCAUUUUAGAGAACAGAAUCUAGCAGUAAUAUGGUUGGUUAAAAAGGGUCUCUUGGUCUAAUUCAGAAACUGACAAUGCCGAGCAUCUUGAUAUGACUGAGAGUAUGAACUAAAAACAAAAAUCACAAAAUUUAUAAUGGAAAUAGAGUUUUUUAGUGCAAACUCGGGUCAAUAUCCUUCUCAGGGCAGAAUUCUCUACCUUCACGUUAGAUAUUCAAACGGGAAUAUCUUGAGCUUUUGAUAUUGAAAUCAAGCAAUUCAAAAUUUCAAAUUCAUCUAUACGUCUAGGACUACAACUUUGAUGAAGGAGUUGAAGUGAGAUAAAAUCAUUUUAGAGAACAGAAUCGGGUAGUAAUCUAGUUGGUCAAAAAGGAUCUCCGAGUCUAAUUCAGAAACUAACAAUGUCGAGCGUCUCGAUAUGAUUGAGAGUAUGAACUAAGAACAAAAAUCACAAACUUUGUGAUGGAAAUAUAGUUUUUUUAGUGCCAACUCGGGUCAAUAUCCUUCUCACGGCAGAAUCGGGUCAAUAUCCUUCUCACGGCAGAAUUCUCUACCUUCUCGUUAGAUAUUCAAACAGGAAUAUCUUGAGCUUUUGAUAUCAAAAUCAAGUGAUUUAAAAGACCAAAAUUAUCUACACGUCUACAAAUACAACUUUGAUGAAGGAGUCAAAGUGAGAUAAAAUUGUUUUAGAGAAUAGAAUCUGGCAAUAAUCUAAAUGGUCAAAAAGGUUCUUGAUUUGACAAUGCUAAGCAUCCAAAUCUGACUGAGAAUCUACCCUAAGAACAAUGAUCCCUAGGACCUAAUAAAGGUGUAGGUUAAUUUUUCAACAUGUCAUGAGUGACAAAAUAUAGCUAGGAUGGUCAUAUAUUGUACGAAACCAAGUCAGAAUUAGAGCCUAAGUUGGAACAAAAAAUUAUGACAGUAGUUGUCGCACGUCACCCGUGCAGCAUCGACUGAUAAUUUUUCGUUUUCUAUUUGAUUUGAUUCGUUAGUGUCGCCAUGUAGUAUUUGAUUGAGGGUUAAUAGGAAACCCGGAUAUACAAGUCUUGUCAGAGAUUCAUGGGUAAAGGACUGGUUGUGGUUAGGAAAGGUAGUCGCACCCCUAACACAACCUACCUGAGGUAAGCUGCUUCGUGGCUUUAAUGUGUUAAAGAAGUUUUAAAAAUUUUAUUUUUUCAUCGGAUAUUAGAAAUAUGACUUGCGUGUAAGUUCAUAAUUCUUUACCGUGAGCAAAUCAAAAUAUUAAAUUCUUCUUUAUUCUUUGCAAUUUUAUCAUAAAAAAAAUAAAAUCCAUAAAACAAAUAUAAACACACACAUACACUUUUACUAUAUAUUUUUUUCUUUUUUCUCUUUUCUUUUCUUUUCUACAUACACACUAUAAAAUGUAAAAAUUCAACAACUAAACAAAAGAAAAUUACAUUAAACAACUUAAAAAUUACAAAAUAGACCCCCAACAAUCCAUAACAGUGCUGGAAGCCUUCUGGAACCACAAGAACAGUGGCGGCGCGUUGCUCCAAGCGCCAUCCCAGUGGUCGCGCAUGGGCUCAUACGCCGCCGCCGAUGAUGGCAACAAGAACUGGUGGAUCGAGAGCCUCUUCCUCUUUUCUAUUUCCCUACGCCAGGGGUGACUUGUAAAACAACCGAAAACACAACAGGCAAUUGAUUUUAAUUUUGUUCUUUGUUUUCAAUCUUUUCUUAUUUCUCUUCUUCUUCGUUUUAGGCAAAUCUGUUUGUUUCUUUUUCUUUCCCAAUCUUCUUUGUUUCAGGUGGCGGCAAGACCAAGGGGUUGUCGAUGACUAGGCUUCUGUCGGGUCUAGUCGGCAGAGAUGGAGGAGAAUGAAGUGGUCUGAUCGUCAACUUUAGUUGGCUUUGCUGCUGUCUCCUGUGGCCACUGGAGCUACAGUGGAGAUGAGAGAGGUUGCUGGCGGUGUUGAGGUGGAGGAAAGGACAGAUCGGUGGGUGUUGGUGUGGUGACACCACUGUUGGGAAGAGGGCAUGAAGGAGGAGAUUGGGGAAAAUGGGGAGGCGAUGUGAAGUGGGGUGUUAGGAAGUUAUGGUUCUGUGAAGGGGAAUUUGGUGAUGGGCUGCGGGACUGUUGUUGGGGUUCUCUAGGUAGGGCUAGCAGCUAGAGGAGGGGAGCCUGGUGAGGGGCUGCAGUGGCCGGCUAGGAAAGAAGGAAGGACUGAAUAGGGGGAAGAGAAGGAAAAUGCAAACUUUGGUAAACGGUGGGGGACCUUGUGGCAGGGUGAAGGAAGGCCUGGUUAAAGGGGGAAGAUGGCCGGGGAAGAGGGAAAAAAAUCACCAGAUAGAGGGGCGGCUGCUGGCGUUGAAAGAGAUGGGUUUUAGGGUUGAGGUUUUUUUUUGUGUUUUUUCUAAUGUUUUAAAAUUGUCCCCCCUCGUGUGUGUUGUAGAGACUAGUAUUUAUAAGUAAAAAUAUUGCUAGGUUUUCAAAGUUGGUCCCUCAACUUUUUUUUUUAUAAAUUUUGAUUUUUUUUUCUUAUUUUUUAGAUUUUUCUUAUCAACAUUGCCUCAAGUGAGGAAAAUCGGUGAUUUUAAAAUAUAACACAUUAAAAGUCAAACGUGUUCCAAAGAUCUUUAAAAAUUUAAAUUCUUUUGAGACGAUGCUGAAAAUGCUAAAAACGAUGCAAAAUAUAUUAAAAAACAUAUUUUUUGGAUUUUUCUGAAAAUUUAUCAAAACAUGGAUAAAAAAUUGGGUAGCAACAAUAGCAUAACCAUUUUUUUUAGUGCAAAUUCUGAGGGAUUUAUCUAACCUUAAAGACCAGAUAAAGAAAGAACAAAUUUAGCAUUAUGAAGACUCCUGAUCAACCUAAGAAAACCUGAUGAUUUUGGUAGCGAAGGAGAAGGAUAAAACGAGCAAAAAACAACUCAAACAAGGUUUCAAAAAAGUAUAUUUCUUUCUCUGCUCCUAAACUCAAUUCAAAAGAGAUAUACACUGUCUCCAGCACAUGGGGUCCAAAAUUGAGUAACAAUAGCUAUGAUAUAAAUUAACUAAGUAUAGUGAAUGAAAUGAUAAGCAUAACCAAAAGAUUAAAAAGAAUAUAACAUGAAAUGAAACUUGAAUAUUAUAAAAACAUAAAGAAAGAAAGCAAGAACAUGAUAUUGAUUUGAAAACCAAGAUGUAUAAAUGAAUGAAAAAUACCUUCUUUUAUAGGCCUAAAACUUAGAACUAUUGAUGGUGGCUAAUUAAUAUGAUAGUUUAACUAAUUGGAUGGCUAAUUAUUGACUUUGUUGGUUGGCCAAAAAAUCAUUUAUAACAUCAUAAUUUGAUCAUAUGGUCUUCAUAAACAUUAUAGGUACUUGUCUCAUAUUUCCAAAAUAAUAAUAAUAAUAACGGGCUCAUUUGGAAUUCUAGAACACAAGAUAUAGGCUGAAGAUCGAAUAGCGUUCGGGUUGCAAAAUAUAUUCAAACUUCUCUUUUGUUGCUCUGAUUUGAGCUAAAUGAUGGAAAUACUGAGUCUUGGACUCUUCAUGAAUGUUUUAGGCCUACAUAUUAUCUUUCCAUUAAGAUAAACCAUAUCUGAAUUCGAUGUUGAUAGCUCAAGUUAUAACCUAAAAAUAGAAUAGUGUUCCAAUUUAAAUAGAACCGGCCAAACUAGGAUUUAUUCUCUAAUUCUAGCCCUCUUUUUGUCUUUUCAUAUAAACCCAAACAAUAAACACAUAUUAAUCAGUCUUGCAUUAAAACCAAGCACUUACCAUAAAUUAAAGACAUCUUAUAUUAUUAGAGUUGUUAUUAUAAAACGUGCUUAAGUUAGAGAGGUUAAGAAUACUUUAAGUGCAAUAGAAUAAUAUAAAAUCUUAAUAAAAAUUCACUUUUAAGCACUUAUCACUCAACAUUAAGAAGGAUUUGGAUGGAGUAUUCAUCAGCUUAAGGUUGUUGCAUAUGUCCUAGGUAUGCUCUCAUAGAUUUACCAAGCCUUCGUAGUUGUCUAAGGUCAUUUUGGUGGAGAUAUACUCCUUAGGGACAUGAGUAUGCAAGACCUGUCUGAAUAAAAGAGACCCCCUUAUCUAAUGAGAGAUCAUGUUUGAAGUGAUUGUUUCUUAGAAAGGUCUCGUAUCGAUGAGAGAGACCUCUCAGAGAGCUAAUGGAUCGCUCAAGUGGAGAGCUCUCCAUCAAAAAGCCAUCAACUAUUCUUCUGGACCUAGCUUUUAACAUAAGCUCAAGAAUAGGGUUUUUGAGUGUUUGGGUAUUGGAUGAUCACACAUUUACAUCGAUAUUCUAUUCUUAGGAACUGAUAGAGUAGAGGGUCGGUGGUAGAAGUCGUAGUUCCUAAAAAAAAAAAUCCUUUUAAGUGGGGUUUUAGGACCCUCUGAUGAUUAAAUUGGUGACUUUAUUAUAAGAGAUUAUAAUAAAUGAGCAUUAAAUUUUAAAAACAAAAGUUUUUGUUCUUAUUUUGUGUGUGAUAAAUCCCUUGAGAAUAUAUUCUAAUAGAAUAAAUAUUGUGAACCCUUUACCUGAAUGAUUCAAAAAUAUUUAUAGCCAUAGUACCUUGAACCUUCUUGUUUUUGCUGAAGGGGUUGAAAGUCUUUUCUUAUUGAAUAUACGAGUGAGGAAUAAAUCCUUUACAUCAGCAUUAAUGGUGAUGAAGAAGUGUUUUUACACGAUAUUACUGUUAAUAGUAAUACCACGUGCGUACAAAAGACUUUCAUACUUCGUUUCGUACACAACAUUAAUGUUAAUGAGAAUAACCUUUACAGAGGACUUUUAUACAUAUAGGAUGUAGGGAGAUGAUUAUCUUAGGCUUUAAACAUUUUAUGUUGAGAGUUGUACGAAUAGCCUUGUAACCAAACAAGAGGCGAAAAGGAUUAUCAAUUAUACGCUUGGACAUGAAAUGAUUCUAGACCCAAGGGUGUUGGAUUUGACAUAUUGCCAGACCCAUAUGUGCUUGGGCCUAGCGCGUAAAUUAGCCCAAGGGAGUUGGGUCUGAUAUCUUAUCAAAUCCACAUGUGCUUAGGUGUGGUGCAUAGCUAAGCCUAAAGAAAUUUGGUAUGGCAUCUUACCAGACCCAUAUGCAUUUAAACUCAGUGUUUGGCUAAGCUUAAAGGAGUUGGGUCUGGUGUCUUGCCAGACCUACAUGUGUUUGGACCUAGUGUGUAAAUGACCCCAAGAGAGUUAAGUUUGCCAUCCUGAUAGACCCACAUGCGUUUGGGCUUAGCGUAUGGCUGAGCCCAAGAGCGUUUGGUUUAGUGUCUUGUCAAGCCCUUAUGUGCUUUGGUUCAGCGCGUGGCUCAGCCUAAGGGCGUUGGAUCUAACAUCUUGUUAAGUCAUACAUGCUUGGGUCUAGCACGUGGCUAAGCCUAAUGGAGUGAGGUCUGGCGUCUCAUCAAUCCCCUAUGCGUUUGGGCCCAACAAUGAAGUUGGGUUUGGAAAUGAACUAGAUUAUCAUCUUAUAGGCUUGGCUUUUUAUGAAUCUUUAUGCAUGAUGGGUCAUCAUCUUUCUUUAGGUCCUUUUAACUAUAAUAAACCAUUUACGGGUUAUUCCCCCAAAUCUCCCUUUUUUUCUUUUCAAAAUAAAAAAUAAAAAAUAAAAAUAAUGAUAGCAAAGGAACUGGUGUUAUGGAGGAAUCAAGACGAUAAUUUUAUAGGGGAUGAGAAACUAAUUGCACUCCAUUGUGCCCCAAAUUAGAGAGACAAUACAGAUUCAAGGUCAAAUUAAAUAAUUAUUGGACAAACCUGCAUAAAAAUUAAGCCUAAAGACAUAAUUAAAUUUUUAAUAGGCCAAUUUGAUUUAAUCAUGGGCUAAAUUAAAGGUUCAAUUAUAUUUAAGAAUUAAUUUGGGGCGCAAUGAAAGAUUUAAUUAGGUGCAAGUACUUAAUUAUAUUUUAAAUAGGUCAAAUUAAUUUUAUUAGAGAUUUAAUUGGUGAAACAUUAAGUUUAGGAGCCUAAUUUGGGCUUAAUUGAGAUGAUUGGAAUUUUAGGAGACAAAUUUAUUUUUUACCAAGUCAAUUGGUUGAAAUCAGAGGUAAAAUCACAAGAAAAACAAAGUUUUGGGGUCAAUUAGGGAUUAAAUUGAAGAAAUUCAGAGCUAAGGAUCAAUAUGCAAAAAGGGCCGAACUAUGGAGACCCAAUUGAUUGACAUCAAGGGUGAAAUUGAAGAGAAUUGAAAGUUUCAUGGUCAAUUGAGGAUCAAGUUGCAUAAAUCCAAGACCAAGGACUAUAAUGAAAAAGACGCAUAAAUCUGGGGCUGAAAUUGAAGUUCGAUAGAGGCAAAAUUGCACAAAAUGAAAAGUUUGAAACCAAUCAGGGGUGUAAUUGAGAAAAAUUAGCAAUCAAAGACUAAAUUGAACUUCACCACAACGGAUAUGGCAUCAUCCCAAAAAGGUCAACUCAAGUAGCCUUUAACUGUCAAAUUUGACAAUUCAUGAUGUCUACUUUAAGCUAAUGGUUGGGAUCCUUCCCAGCUGAAUCAAGGGUCGAAACGUUUUUCCAAUGAAGACAAGAUUGCCCUCUUCCACCUCCUAUAAAUAAGGGUGGAUUUCAUGGCCUGAGCGUCAAGAAAAUUGAAGCCAAAGUUUGAAAAAAAACAGCCCUCUACCUUAGUUUUUCCAACCUAUUUCUUCUCCUUCGUCAGCCUCACUUUCCCCCUUUUGUUCUCCACUUCUAGCGACACCACCACUUCCGGCCACCAUGCAAGAUCUUCCCUGCAACACUAAGAAUGCUUACAGCCUCUUUUCUCCCCGAUCAGGCAAGCCAUUCAUUUCUUUUCCUCCUCCAAAACUCCCCCCCGGCCAGCCAUUGCAUGCGAAAUUUGUAUGCAGUGAUGGCUUAAUUACUAUACUAUAAUGGGCUGGACCCGCUUCAGCCCAGCCCACGUGGUUGGGUCAGGUUGGGUCCAGCCCAUUAAAAUAGAAGAAAACAAAGAGAAGGCCUAAUCUGUUCCGCCACAAGGCGGCCCAACCCGACCCGACUGGGUCUAGCCCAGAUGGGUGGGCCCAGCCCAUAUAAUAAUAUUACAUUACUAUAAAAAAACAAAAACAUUCCAAAAAAAUUUCCAUGGGUCCUUUCAAAAAAUUUAUGAUUUUCUCGCAUGUUUUUCUACUAACUUUGUUCAAUAUUGGCUCGUAAACUUACAUAGUAAGAUACAAACCCGACACAAAAUACCUCAUUUCCUCCAAAAUUACCGGAAAAAAAAUGAAAAAAAUAUUUAUUUCAAAAACACAAAGAAAAAUGUUUUGUUUUCAUGCAUACAACCAAAUUCUAAAGGUUUUUCAAUCAUAUUUUCAUACAAAACAAAAUUUGCAUCUUUCUCAUGUUUUAAAAAUGUAAAAAUAGGUAUUGUAACCAGUUUAUGAUUAUCCAUUAAUGUUUGAUCAAAAUAUCAAAAAUCAUUCACAAAUCAUUUUGUUCACUUUAUAUUUAAAGUAUUAGGAUUUAGCUGUAGACUUUAAUAUUUCGGAUGUAAAACUACACUGUAGAUUAUACCCUCAAAUAUUAAAUAUACAAAAAAAUAAAUGCGAUGUUAAAAUAAGACUCUAGAAUGGUUAGGAUUUGCCCAAUAAGGUAGAAACUUCCUCACGAAAGGAGAUCUGCCUCAAACCUUAGAAAAAUACCAACGAAUUGAAACAUUACCUAGAAAAAAAAAUCAAAUAAAAAUACAGUUUACAUAAGGUAGUGUGUACUAGGGAUAAUGCAUCUUCUCUUUACAUAAUUAGUCUCUUACCUAGACUCUCACAAACCAUAAAAUUCCUAAUAAUUAUAAUAUUAAGUGGCGACUCCUAAAUUAUAAUCAUAAUUUUAUAGUUACACCCAAAAACCAACCACAUCUCAAGAGGCAGACCCACUAUCCACAACAUGUGCAACACUUGCUAACUAUAGCUCUUUUGAGCAAAUGAAUUUGGUAAAAUAUAUUGAUUAGUGAAUUUGGAAGCAAGGUAGAACUUUAUGGAGGGGUGUUUGGGGUUCCAGGGUAUCUGCUUUUCACCCAAUUUUUAUUUGUUUAAUUUCUUUUAUAUAUUUAGAUUAUUUUGAUGUGUUGAUAUAAAAAAUAAUUUUUUAAAAAUAAUAAAAUAUUAUUUUAAUAUAUUUUUAAAUAAAAAAUAAUUUUUUAAAAAAUCAUUAUUAUAUUUUUAAACACCCCAAAAAUUUAUGACAAGGAAGUAUCCACGUACUGUCGUGGAAAGCAAGAUUCAAUGGCCACAAAUCAGUCCUAGAAAGUAGGCGUGAACUAGUAAAAAUGAAUGCACCUGUCCUGAAGCUGACAACAUGUCUUAUGCACAAAAUUAAAAAACUGUUCCUUUCUCAGAUGGCCUAUGUGCAUUGCAUGUAGGCUUCAUUUUCCUUUCGGUCUUGCCUCUUUUAAUUUGCACAAGUUACUGCGUCAUCCUUCCGAAUGACAAAUAACAAAAAAUAAUUUUUAAAAAUUAAAAAAAAAAAUUAAAAUAUUUUAAAAUAAAAAAUAUUUUUAAAAAUAAUAGUUACCACAACUUUAAAUAGCCUCUCAAUUCAUGAAAAGGAAGGCAAGAUUCAAUGGCCACAAGUCAGUCCCAGAAAAUAGAUGUGAACUUGGAAAAUUAAAUGCACCUGUCCUGAUUCCUGAAGCUGACAACACGUCUUAUGCACAAAAUUAAAAACCUCGGAUGGUCCCAAUAGAGGCUUAAUUUUCCCGUGGUUGAUGUUACGACAUGAGCUGAGCGCAUAAAACAAGGAAUCAGAAAUCAUAAAAUUUCUACACCCAUUAAAAAAAAAAGGAAAGGAGAUCAUUAGCCUUUUAAUUAAGUUAGCCUCUUAAUUAUUACAAACAUUGUCUCAACUUCAUUUAAAAAAUAUAAAGAUCAGAAGAAUAUGUUUAGUUAAAACUAUAAUGCAAUAAAUUUCUAUAAGUAAAAUAAAUAAAAAAAACAAGUUUCUAUUAAAAAAAAAUUAUUUUAGUUUCUACAAAAUAAUAAUAAUAAAAAAAACAAUUAUGUAUUGAACCCAAUACAAAACCAAAAGCUAUUUCACUAAUGCAAUAUUUUUUUUCUCUGAUUAGACAAAAUGUGAAAGCUACACGAUACCAAACACUAUUGAUGUUAAUAACAACUGCUCCUGUUUGUUCUUCAGCGCAAAUGUGAAAUAAUAUAACAUAAACGACAAAUCAGAACUACAGGUUGCAUAAACAGAACAAUGGAACUCCUAUCAUGUGUUUAAACAUCAAUUUCAUGAUACCUUUCGGUGUAGACAACAAGAUGAGCCUCUUCCAGGCAACAAAAACAAACACAAACACCAGACACAUUUUCACGGUGCAUGUAAACCUCCAACCAAGAAAAUGUUCUAUUUCUCGCCAGUAUAUCAAAAACACAGACAAUUUCCCAAGCCAUCUCCUCUUGCCUCUUUUAAUUUGUACAAGUUACUGCGUCAUCCGAAUGACAAAUAACAAAAAAUAAUUUUUAAAAAUCAAAAAACUUUAUUUUAAUAUAUUUUUUUAAAAAAAUAUUUUUAAAAAUAAUAACUACCACAACCUUAAAUAUCCUCUCAAUUCAUGAACAGGAACUCUCCACGUACUGUUGUGGAAAGCAAGAUUCAAUGGCCUCUCAAUUCAUGAACAGGAAGUCUCCACAUACUGUUUUGGAAAGCAAGAUUCAAUGGCCACAAGUCAGUCCCAGAAAGUAGAUGUGAAGUUGGAAAAUUAAAUGCACCUGUCUGAAGCUGACAACACGUCUUAUGCACAAAAUUAAAAACCUCGGAUGGUCCCAACAGAGGCUUAAUUUUUCAAUGGCUGACAUCGUAUCAGUAGCUGAGCAUAUAAAAUAAAGAGUUCGAAGUGAUAGAAUUUCUACAUCCAUCCAAAAAAAGACUUCAAAAGAAAAAACAAAAAUGAGGUCGACCAUGUUAGCUUUUUAAUUAAGUUAGUCUCUUAAUUAUCACAAACAUUAUCUCAAUUCCAUUUUAAAAAGAUAAAAAGAUUGUAUUUAGUUAAAACUAUAAUGCGAUAAAUUUUUACAAGUAAAAUAAAUGAAAAAUAAAUUCCUAUUAAAAAACAAAGAUUAUUUUAGUUUCUACAAAAUAAAAUAAAAUAACAAUUAUGUAAUGAACCCAAUACAAAACCAAAAGCUAUUUCACUAAUGCAAUACUUUUUUUUUCUGAUUAGACAAAAUGUGAAAGCUACACAAUACCAAACACUAUUAAUGUUAAUAACAACUGCUCCUGUUUGUUCUUCAGCGCAAAUGUGAAAUAAUAUAACAUAAACGACAAAUCAGAACUACAGGUUGCAUAAACAGAACAAUGUAACUCCUACCAUGUGUUUAAACAUCAAUUUCAUGAUACCUUUCGGUUUAGACAACAAGAUGAGCCUCUUCCAGGCAACAAAAACAAACACAAACACCAGACACAUUUUCACGGUGCAUGUAAACCUCCAACCAAGAAAAUGUUCUAUUUCUCGCCAGUAUAUCAAAAACACAGACAAUUUCCCAAGCCAUCUCCUCUUGCCUCUUUUAAUUUGUACAAGUUACUGCGUCAUCCUUCCGAAUGACAUUAAAUUUUCAGGACAAUAUUAAUAUAAUUCCUAGCAAAUCCAAACUAAAACACUAAGAACCCUGGACAAUGAGCAAUGUAUCAGGAGAUAAUCUGCCGACACACUUCAUCAAGUUUUCAGUUUCAUCUUCUUUAUGUCAAUAACAACUUAAAUAACUCAUUACAGCAUCACUAACACAGUUUAUCAUUAACCGGCACAAAUUCUGAACCACCGACAGCCAACCCACCAUUAAGAUCUAGUCAGGUCAUCUCUGUAACUACAUCCCAAAAACAAAGUCCAAUACAGUUGUUAAUACAGCUAUAAAGAAUUCUUCCAAAUGCCGUCAUAACAUAUUUUUGAAAAGCUUUUCAGGAAAAAAAAUGACUUGAUACAUAAGAGUAUACACAAUGAACUGCUGCUCAACAAGCUUUAGCACUCCAAAGGCACUGAAACUUGUUAGUUACAAUACACAAAAUACUUCUAGACAAAUGCCAUUUUUAAUUAGAGCAUUACCAAGGAAAUGUAACACCAAGCAAGCACAGUGUGCCAACAGAAAUGGUGAAACAAGAAAAAAACGAAAAAAAUAAACUCAGACAGGCCACUUCAAUUAGUUGAACUGCAUUCCAAAGCCAUUUAAAUCUUCAACCUAUAAAUUUUCCAGGACCAUUGCUAUGAUCUUGUAGCAGAUGGCACAGAGAGAUAGCUCUUCCCUUGUAAAAUGAUGAAUAUAACUUUGAUCUGGGAUGAUAGUGAAGCAAAAGCAAAGGGGCUAUCUGUGGUAAAAAAUUUAUGACAUAUAAGAUUGGCAUAGCAGACAUAAGAGUAGAACAUUGGAGAGUGUUAAACCUAUUAUUGACCAUGAUACUUCCCCACCCCUUUUCUUCUCAAGAACUUAUGAUGAUAGAAUUCAUCAAAGGACAGACGUUGAACUGCAACAAGAGAGAUACAAAAAAAUGAAUGGUUCCACAAAUGAAUCAGGAGGGAAGAAAGAAAGAUAUGUUUUGUUGGGGUCAGGCCAUGUGCUAAACCUGGAUUUGCAGAAAGAAGUCUUGAGCAUAUAUCAACACAGUCUGGAUGCAACCCUGAAAGGAUGUGUUGAGAGAAAGGAAGACAUGAACUUGACUUGAUGUUCUGCAGCAACUGAGGUCAAGAGAACUACUUUUAUUAGAGACUUGAGCGAUCACAAUUCAAGGAUUAUAAACUUACGGAAACGGCACUACCUGGAAAUUAUUCCUGCCAAGAAAAGGUGGGUAACCAUUAAGAAGCUCAAAAAGAAUUACACCAACACUCCACAUGUCAACCUAUAUAAUGAAGCACUGAUAUUCAUUAAAUUCUAUUCUGAAGCAAAGAAAGCAAUGCACCAAAGGAAAACAUUAGCAAAAUCAUUACCUUAUAAUCAUAUCUUUGAAAUUGAAGAACUUCUGGAGCCAUGUAAAAUGGAGAUCCGCAUACUGUCUCCACAUAGUUAUCAGGAAGCACCCUUCUAUUUAAAGAUGAGAAAGAAGAAAGUAAAAUUAAUACAUUGCCUGACAUGUCUUCAACAAAAUUUUGGCAUUUUUUCUUAAUUAUGGGGAAAACAAUUAACAACAUAGUUUCAUGGUGGUCUCCCUGAAACUUUCCAGGAAACCAUCCCAUUACCUUUCUUCUACCAAAAAGUUACAUCGAUAAACCAAAAUCAGCUAUUUUGAGCACCACAUCGCUCUCCUUGCCAGAAAGGAGAAUGUUCUACAACAAAUUGACCAAUGUAAGCCAGUUUCAAGGCAACUCAAUCUUCAGCCAACAAUUUUGAACUCCACCAUAGGUAAAAGAAUUGCAUGUACAACACCUCAUACCUCAGGUUUCAGGUCUCUAUGAAUAAUAUGAUGGCUCUGCAGAAUUUUCAAACCAUCCCCUGAACCAUAGAAAUCCUCGAGAUUACAAUUAUGUAAACAGAGAUGUGAUACAAGCAACUCAUAUGUUGUACUGUGAAACAGAUAUCAAAUGACCGCUACCCAUCUGUUGCGUAAAUCUUUUAGCAAUCUGCUCUUGAACUCUCCCAUGUUGUCGAAGAUAAGAAGCUAGAUUUCCUCCGGAACAAAACUCUAGGACCAGGAACAUGCAACAUUCAUCCUGAGAUUGCAGAUAUUCCGAUUUGCAGAAAUGAAAUAUUAUGAAACAAAAAGCAUAUAAAUCACAGCUACAGAGGGUAGAAACAGAUCAAGUUAAACUCGAAAUGAAAUUCUCCUUUACAUAUGUCAAGCUUUUAGUUACAUGUAUCCAUCUACAUCAUUCCACUUUAUCUAGAUCAAUAUCCUCAGUGAUUCAGUCAUUUAAGAAUUUCAAGGAUUCAUGUUAAUGGAAUUAAUAAUUAGAGUAACUAGCAUUUAUCUACAAUUCUUCAAGAGAUGACAGCUUGGAUAGAGAGCAGGAAAUGAGUUGCCGAUAUUGCUAAGUAGAAAACACCUAGGUCAGAGGCCUUCAACAUUGCAUUUGCCAACUGUGGAAAUCAAUCUAAAAAAUCAGUUAGGAUCUUUGAGAAAUCUUAGUAUAUAUGGCUUUGGAAGGAGAAUCUGAUAUUAACUAUCCAGAUUCUCUAGAUUAUUGCUUUUAAUUUAGUGUAGGAUGCUUUCCUCUCUAGUAUUUAUUUCUUGUUUUGAGGGUCAGUAGGUUAGCUUCUCUUCUAUUUAUUGUACAAAAUACUGCUGGUAAUAUUAAAAAAGAGAAAGACUUCUCUCAAAAUUCUUCAUGGUAUCAGAGCCUAUUCUUGAACCCUAAUCUGCUUCUCUAAGGCAUGGCAGCAGCAGGACAAAGCUCUCUCUCUGAGGUGACCUCACAGCCAGGAAAAGCCUCAUGUUAGCCUUUAGGAGGCACUGAAGGCACAUCACACCAAAUCACAUGACACAAACUCAAGAUAUAAUUAUCUUAAUGGUCAUCAUCAGUCAUGAUGUUUAUUUGUGGAAAGGGCAGAGAUGACUACCUCACAGGGGAUAUCUCAUACCAAAAGGAAUGAUCCCAUGUUUCGAACAUGGAAGACUGAAAAUCAUAUGGUAAUGUCAUGGCUGAUCAAUUCAAUGACCAAUGAAAUUGGAGAAAAUUUUCUCCUAUAUGGAACACAAAGGAAAUCUGGGAAGCAACAAGAGAAACCUACUCAAGUUCUGAAAAUACAUCAGAACUAUUUGAGAUUGAGGCAGUGUUACAUGAUCUACACCAAGGAGACUUUCUAUUACUCAAUACUUCAACACUCUCUGCCGUCAUUGGCAGCACCUAGAUAUGUUUGAAAUUCACAGCUGGAAUUGCCCUGAAGACACAGUCUAUAUAGAAGAAUUGUAGAGCAGAAAGAACUUUCAAAUUUCUUCUCGGGCUCAACAAGAAUCUUGAUGAAGUCAGAGGAAGAAUAAUGGGAACCAAACCUCUUCCAAAUCUCAGAGAAGCAUUCUCUGAGGUUAGAGUGAAGAAAGUAGAAAGAAAGUAAUGAUGGGACCUCACAACUCAGCUAAUAAUGGAAGGAUCUGCCUUGCUGCUCGAGGCUAUUCAAACAGCAACUAUGAUAAUCGACAGAGGAAAGGAAGACCCUGGUGUGAUCACUGCAACAAACCAGGACAUGUCAAGGAAAACUGCUGGAAGAUUCAUGGCAAACCUGCUGAUUGGAAACCAUAAAAAUCAAUAAAUGACAAAGACAGAUGUGCCAACAAUUACCUCAGAUAACAACCGAGAUAAGAACACCAUUCUGCCAACAGAAACAAGUCCUUUCAGCAAGGAACAACUUGAGAUCUUACAAACUCUUCAUUCAGAAUUCACUGUCUCAACCAUGUCACCUCUGGUUCUGGAUCUGGACUUAGCACAAAAAGGUAAAUUUUCAACAGCCCUUACUGUUAGAAGAAACACUCAAGCCCUUGGAUCAUCGACUCCGAGCAUCAGACCAUAUGACAGGAGAUGCCACUCUUCUUAAUGAAUACAAUCAUGCACUAAUAAUUCUACAGUCCGUAUAGCUGAUGGGUCUUCCUCCCAAGUUAAGGGAAUAGGCCUGAGCAGACUCUCAAGGGACAUGAUCCUAAACUCUAUCUCCAUGUUCCUAACCUAGACUGCAACCUACUCUCAAUUAGAAAAUUGACUUGUGACCUGAAUUGUGUUGCUAAAUUCUCUCCUCAUUUGUGUAUAUUUCAGGAUCUAGAUACGGGGAAGAAGAUUGGCAGUGCUAAGAUGUGUUCUGGGCUCUAUUUCCUCAAAAGUGAGAUUCCUCUAAGAAGGCAAACUCAAAACAAUAGCUAUGUAUCAUCCAAGGGUCAGUCAGCUUUAAAUUUUCAUGUCAAUAAAGAUAGUGAGGUUUUGUUAUGGCACUAUCGUCUUGGUCAUCCAAACUUCACGCACCUUGAAAGGCUGUUUCCAUCCUUCUUUUCCAAUAAAAGCUCACAAUCCUUUAAAUGUGAAAUAUGUCAACUCUCUAAACAUGUUCGCAAUAGCUAUCCCACCAUUUCAUAUAAACCAUCACAUCCAUUUGCAAUGAUUCAUAGUGAUGUAUGGAGCCCCUCACAAGUGCACAAUAUAACUGGAACUCGAUGGUUUGUCUCCUUUGUUGAUGAUCACACUAGAUUGACUUGGUUAUUCCUUAUGAAAGAAAAAUCUGAAGUCAGCUAGAUUUUCCAAAACUUCCAUUCCAUGAUACAAACUCAAUUUCACACUAAAAUCCAAAAAACUGAUAAUGCCAAAGAAUAUUUCAAUUCUAGCCUUAAUACUUAUUGUCUAAAUCAAGACAUUAUCCAUAUAAGCUCUUGUGCUAACACUCCAUAACAAAAUGGAGUGGCUGAAAGGAAGAAUAAACAUUUGUGAGAAGUUGCUAGAUCCCUUAUGCUCUCUACUCAUGUGCCAAAACAAUUAUGGGGAGAAGUUGUACUCAUAGCAACCUAUCUCAUCAACAGAACGCCUUCUAGAAUUCUAAACUUCAAAACUCUCAGCCAAGUCCUACAAGCCUUUCCACACACCAAACUACUCUUUUCCUUAGACCCUAAAGUAUUUGGCUGCUCAGUGUUUGUUCAUAUACACCAUAGAGAAAAAUUAGACCCUACCUCUCUCAAGUGCAUUUUUAUAGGAUACUGUCCACACCAAAAGGGUUACAAAUGUUAUUCCCCUGUUCACAAAAAGGUUUAUACUUCUAUGGAUGUCACAUUUUUUGAACAUCAAGCAUACCAUCCCAAGUCUGAUCUUCAGGGGGCAACCAUGAGAGAAUAUCAGAAUUGGAAUAUACAAUCUGAUCAUGUAAUUAACUCAGGAGACAACCAAUAGAGUCUUGUCCAAAGUCAUUCCCCUGAACUCUCCUGCUUUGAGUCCUUACACUACACCUCUAGCCUCAAUCCAAUCAGUCCCAGCACCACUAGCCUCAGUCCAAUCUCCUAACCAAAUUCAUCCUACACCAAAACAGAUCACAAAUCAUGAGCUUCUUACCUAUUCUAGAAGAAAAAAACUUGGAAAGGAGAUAGAACACACAAUACCUCUUGCACAUGACCAAUAUUCAGAACCAAAUCCAGAUUUUGCCCCAAUAUACCCUGGCAUGGAAACUUCUGACUAUAAGAAUACUGCCUUGUUAUUGAUGAUUCAAAUAAUUCCAAUUGCUUUGAGAAAAGGUGUUAGAUCAUGCACAAGUCAUCCCAUCAGCAAAUUUGUUUCAUAUGAAAGAUUAUCACCAACCUAUCAUGCAUUUGUUUCAGCCAUUGACAGUGUACAGAUUCCUAAAUCUAUUGAAGAAGCUCUCCAAGAUUCAGGGUGGAGAAAGGUAGUGAGUUAUGAAAUCAGUGCCUUAAACAAGAAUAGAACUUGGGAAAUUUCUGAACUUCCACCUGGAAAGAAACCAGUUGGGUGUAAAUGGUUAUUUACUAUCAAACAUAAGGCUGAUGGAAGUAUUGAAAGGUUAAAAGCUCGUCUGGUUGCAAAAGAAUUUACUCAGUUCUAUGGAAUAGAUUAUCAAGAAACAUUUGCUCCAAUGACCAAACUUAAUACAAUCAGAGUACUUUUGUCCCUAGCAGCUAACCAAGACUAGCCAUUACAUCAACUAGACAUAAAAAAUGCUUUCCUUAAUGGAGACUUGGAAGAAGAAGUGUACAUGGGAUAUUCUCUAGGACUAGAAACAUCCUCCAACCUCAACAGAGUAUACAGACUAAAAAAUCACUAUAUGGACUCAAGCAAUCACCUCGGGCAUGGUUUGACAGAUUUACAAAGACAGUAGCACAGUAUGGAUAUUCCCAUGCCAAGCAGACCACACACUGUUUGUAAAAACCUCUCCAGAAAAGAAAAUAGCAAUCCUAAUAGUAUAUGUGGAUGACAUCAUCUUAACUAGGGAUUAUGAGAAAAACUUGUGAGAUUGAAGAAACUUUUAGCCAAGGAAUUUGAGAUCAUACACCUUGGGUAUCUCAAAUACUUCCUUGGCAUGAAGUGGCACGAUCAAGGAAAGGUAUAUAUGUUUCUCAACGAAAAUAUGUCUUGGAUCUACUAAAAGAAACAGGAAUGCUUGGAUGCAAACUGCAGACACUCCAAUGGAUUCAACAAAGAAGAUAGAGCAAAAUGGUAGUAUACCAGUGGAUAUGGGGAGAUAUCAAAGACUUGUGGGUCGACUCAUCUAUCUCUCACGUACCAAACCUGAUAUUGGCUUUUCUGUCAAUUUUGUAAGUCAAUUCAUGAACAACCCGACAAAAGAUCAUAUGGAAGUUGUUAAUAGAAUCUUGAGGUGCCUAAAAAUGAUUCUUGGUAGAGGCCUUCUAUACAAGAAAUGUGACAACAUAAAUAUUGAAAUCUACACAGAUCCAGACUAUACAGGAGACAUUAUAGAUAGGAGAUCUACUUCUAGAUAUUGCUUCUAUGUUUGGGGAAAUCUAGUAACUUGAAGAAGCAAGAAACAACAUGUGGUAUCUCAGUGUAGAAUUUGAGCUUAGAGCUCUAGCUCUUAGUAUCUGUGAAGGGAUGUGGAUACAAAGAUUACUUAAGGAACUUGGCAUGGAAUCAUUGACAAGGAACUUGGCAUGGAAUCAUUGACACCUAUACAGAUGCAUUGUGAUAAUCAAGCAGCCAUAAGCAUAGCAAAGAAUCCAGUUCAUCAUGACAGGACAAAGCACAUUGAAAUAGAUCAACACUUCAUCACAAAAAAGAUUGAGAAGAACAUUGUUCACCUCAUCUACACUCCAACAAAAUCUCAAAUUGCAGACAUCCUCAUCAAAGCUCUACCAAGGACUAAUUUUGAAGAAUUGAAUCACAAGCUGGGCAUGUAUAACAUAUACAACCCAGCUUAGCUUAAGGGGGAGUGUGGAAAUCAGUCACAAAAUCAGUUAGGAUCUUAGAGAAAUCUUAGUAUAUGUGGCUUAGGAAAGAGAAUCUAGUAUUAACUAUCCAGAUUCUCUAGAUUACUGCUUUCUAGUUUAGUGUAGGAUAUUUUCCUAUCUAGUAUUUAUUUCUUGUUUUGAGGGUCAGUAGAUUAGCUUCUCUUCUCUAUUUAUUGUACAAAAUACUGCUGGUAAUAUUAAGAAAAGAGAAAGACUUCUCUUAAAAUUCUUCACCAACACAAUCAAAAUGAAUCCAACCACUGUUUCUCAUGAGUAUCUGGUCUUUAAGGGUAUUUAGUGGGAGAAACUAAAUAAAAUCAUGCUCUGUCCUUUUUUUUCCUCAAUCAUGGUGAAUGGAGAGCAUAAGUUUUUUGUUUCUGGUAUUCCAUGGUCCUUAGUAUGAUGUCUGAUACAAAGGGUAGAUAAUGAGCUAGUGAAAAAAAUGUUGUUGAUGACAUUUUGCUUCUCUUAUGUGCUUUGCCAAUGACACCAUUCAUAAUAAGUCUUUAGAAAGACAGGGGCUUGAUAACAUGCUUCCUUUCUUGCAUAUUUUGGAAGAUGUCUAGUUUAAGGUUAAACACAUAGAAGAUGAGAAUUAUGGGUAUUUUAAUCCAGGACUUGAAUUGGUUCUCAAUUAUCCCUCUAUAGCCUAGUGUGUUGCCAGGGUUGGCCCUUGGCAUGUUUAGAGGUCCCCAUGGUGGCAAUCCACAUUUUCCAGCCUUUUAGAAUUUGGUUGAAUCAAAUUCUAAUCUCUCUUACUUUGCUUUAAUAUUUUAAGCAUGAUAGAUGCACUACUACUCCAUAUACUCUUUUGGAGCACCAUGUCUAACAACAAUGCUUCUGUGAACACCAUGCCUAGAUUAAUCUCCACACUCCACAUUACUCCAUCAACUCAACAGUAUUUUAAGAUUGCAUCCUCAAUCCAAGACAUUAAAUUGUUAAGCCACAAAUCCCAUCUCAAAAUGAAUAAUAAUUGACUUCAAAAAUAACCCAAGCUAUCUUGAGUAAAACAAGCCAUGCUUCUAAUUCAACAUUUACAACAGGAAGGGACCCUAAAUACCAAAAUUAACCAACUUUUCCAUUAUUUUCCCUAAAUCAACAUAUUUUCAUAAAAGGGUAUGCUAAAAAUCACCUAAAUAAUCAAAACCAAGUAAAAAAAAAAAAUCAAUCACAAAAGAAAUUUACAAGAAGGGUUACCCUACAAAUCCCCUAAGCAUCAAACCAACCAGCUCUAUAAUNNNNNNNNNNNNNNNNNNNNNNNNNNNNNNNNNNNNNNNNNNNNNNNCAAUUAAACAACACAAAUCAGCCUACAACAUCAACACCAACAACAAAUUUACUCAAACAGGUAUGGAAAACUUACCUCAAAGACAUCAAGAAGGCGAAUGAUGUUGGGGUAAUUGACAGAAGACAAGAAAUUAAGCUCACAAUCUAAGCAGUUCCUCAAAUUCUUGUUGAGUUUAGAGAGAUAAACUUGCUUCACUGCCACUUCCCCCCCCUGUUAUUUUGUUCUCUGCUUUCCAUACUGUGGAAAAAGAGCUCUCAUCCAGUUUUGAUUUCAGGAUGUAGUUUCCGAUUGUAUGAGAUUCUGAGAGAUUCUUUGUUGCUUCAAGAUCCAUUUAUGUUGGUUUUGGAUGGUUCGACAAAGAGUACUGAAAACGUUCUAGUAAUAUUUUGCCUUGGAUUUUUGUUCUUCUGUUUUUGUCAUGAUGUCUGUUUGUGAACGUGGCAGGUAAAGAGAUGAGAGUCUAGAUUUUCUUUAUCGAUAAAUUAUAUUUUAGGCACUGUAGCUCGUGCUAUACAGAUUAUAUUUUUGAAAUAACGUAUUUUUUAAUAAAAAAAUAAUUAUAAAUUAUGAGAAUAAUAUUUUCUAAAAAUAAAGUAAUAAGAGUUCAUUGCGUGAAAUAACAUAUUAAAAUCUCAUUUUAAUUAAGGAAAUAAUCACAGUUUGAUUAAAGCACAAAAAAAAUAUAUUUCUUCUUCAUAUUCUUUCUUGGCCAAAAACUCUCUCUCUCUUUUAUAUGUUAGCUUUCAAUCUUAAAAAUAAAUCAAAGUAGCUUUUUAUACAUACUCAUUUAUAAUACUUAAAGGACUUUAAAUAUGAGCUAUGAACUAAAAGAAGAGUGAAUAAAGCCAAUAAUUCUCCCCCUUCCAGCUUAUUUAGAGAGCUUUACCAAACCUGCUUGUCUUUUAUAAAUCUCAAUUUUUUUAAAAUUAAAAACUUGGUUAUCAUAUUUGAUAUAUUUUUAUAAUUACAAUUUUUUUCAAUAACAAAGGAUUUCAUUUUUAUAAAAUCUCGAAUUCAUUAACAUUUAACUUUAAUGUAUUUUGAUUAAAAAUAAAAAAUAAAAUAUAUGUGGAGAUGAAUUGCUUUCUAACUAAUCGCUUCGCACCACAAAAUUCUAUUGGUUCCAAUGUCUUGAAACUUGCUUUAAUCCAUACAAAUUUUUUUCCACUUAAAAACCAAUUUCCUUUUGUUUUUCACUUUAAACCCUUCAGAUUGUUUUAUUUUAUAUAAUUCUUCUAAUCAAAGUUAUCAUGAAGUUGUUCAACUUCAAGAUUCAAACUAAUAAUUAAAUCAAGCAUAACUGCAUUGAAAACAUUUUGAUUAUGAGUGAAAAGAUUUCCUUUAAAUAAAAAAAAAAUUUAAUCAAAAUCUUUUAUAAAUAAUCUUAUAUUGUAUCUUGGUUAUGAGAAAUUUUCUUUAAUUUUUAACAUAAUCAUCUAUUUGUUUUAGAAAAAAAAAAAAAAACCUUGUAAGAGGGUUUCAAUAAAUAUGAAAAACAAUAAUAACUCUAAAUUUUAAUUUAUUAUCAUUAAUAUUCUUCCCUUCUAUAAAGGAUGUGUUUAUAUAAAUAUCAAGAAAUUAAACCAUGGUAUUAAUUCUGAAUUAAAUAUAAAUUAAAAAUCCUGAUAAAAUAUUUUUAACAAUAACAAUAACAAUAUCAACAACAACAAUAAAAUUCUUAAAAUCCACCAAAAUAAUAAUAUGAUUUUAAACGUAAGAAAUUACGAACCAACAAGUAAACUUUCCUUUUUCCUACACAACUUCAUAUAAUUUGUCAAACGAUAUGCUAAUGAUGCUGGAGUUAUGAUUAACAUUGGACCUCUGAAAGCUCUCUGCAAGCUGUUACAGGAAAUAUUUAUUUGAUUUCAUAGACAAAUGAAUCUUUACAGUGGUCUAUAUGAAUGGUACAAUGGCAAAGCUAGGCUGCGUCUUUUGCCAUUCUGACGAGACAUGGUGUAUAGUUUUUCUAUUUUCAUACAAGUAAAAUAUCACAAAAACAAAUUGAAAUGACAAAACUUUUCAUAAAUCACCACCAUUAAUGUUCUCUCAUCUAAUAAACCAUUUAACAUAAAAUUUGAUCGUUUUAGUUAUUAAAAUAGUGACAAACAAAAACUUUUUCUCUCUUAAUUUUUUUCCAUCAGCUUUCUCUCUUGUCUCCAACUUUCUCUAUAGUUUGCAAAACCUAAAAUUGAAAAAUAAAUAAAAUUAAUUUGUGAAUCAAAAUAAGAAUUGAUGUGCACAUUUGAGAUUUACCUUCCUUUUCUUUCAUGUUUUACAUAUCAAUCCUUUAUUUUUUUAAUUUAAUAUUUGUACUACAGUUCUAAACUUAAUUUCAUCUAAUUAAGCCAUAAAAAAAUUUAAUAGAAUAAAAAAUAAAAAAUUUAAAAAAGAGAAAAAGGACCAGAAGGGGAAUAUCUCCUUCGCUUUUCAUAUGAACAGUGAAGGAGCUAGGAAACCUAGUUGUUUUAAUUAUUAUUUUUUUAAUAAUUAUUUAACCACAAUAAUGAAUCAAAACACCAAUAUAAGCCUAUCUGCAUCUGCUUUCUGCCCAGCGGCAGCGUUACUCUCUUACAAUUACAAGCCCAACAAAAGCAUAGCCAUAUAUUACAGGACUAGCCUAAAUACCUGAAGUCCAUCCCAAGUGCUGUGUAACAAUUGUGCCUUCGGUCCAAGAAUGGAGCCCAUGUCUUUUUCUUUUUUUUUUUAUUAUUUUUAUGAUAAGGAUAUCUUUGGAUUAACUUGCUUGUUAAUCAAUACUAAAUCUUUUUUUUAGUGAUUUUAAGACACAUUCUCUACAUUUAUAUUAAAAAAACUAUAAAAUCUUAACUCAAAAAAUAAAAUAUUUUUUUGAUCAUCAACCCAAUCUAUAGGGCUGAGCCCAUAAAUUAGUGAUUAUGAAGAGCGACGUGAACAAAUAUGAGAAAAUGCAUAGUAUAUAAAUAAUAACAAAAAUUUAAAUUGUGAAAUAAUUAUAAUUAUUUUGUUGUAUUUUUUGAAAAUAUGGAAACUAUGAGAGGAUGUUUGGAAAGGUGCAAUAAGCGGAAUAAUUAAGAAGAUGACCAUUAGAGAAAGAGGAGUUUAUAUUGGCUAAGUAAAAAAUAAACUUGUUAAACUUAUGCAUCGUAUAUUUAUAAAUUCAUACCAUAUAUGUUAACAUAUUUAAAUAAGAAUGUAUGCAUAAAUAUUUAAAUAUUUCCUAAAAUAAUAACCAAUUAAUUUAUGUAAAACUAAGAUUUCGAUAGAUCCCUAAAUAUUCUCCCAAAAAAAGACUUAACUAUUAAUAUAUUUUUUUUCUUAUAUCAUGCCUACAUAUUAAAUAAUUCGCAUCUCAUCAUAUUUUUCAUAUAUUUUGUAUGAAGAUCUUGUAACCAAAUAUUUUAUAUUCAUAGAAUUAAUUAAUGGUAUCUACUCAUUCAAUGCAUGAAAUUUUCAAAAAUUAAAAUCGUUUCUCAAGGAAAAAGUAGUUACUAUACGCAUGAUAUGAAGAUUUUGUGUCCAAAAAUUCUUCCCAGCUGAUAGAUUAUAAUAUUCAUUUAAUACAUGAGUUAUCGAUCGGAAACUGAUUUGGGAAUAAAAAUCUUGUGAGAUUAGAAACUAUCAUUACUCCAUUAAAUCUUUUUAUAUUUCAAAAUGCAUUAAAGAUUCUAGCCGUAACAUUGAUAGCAUAUUAUAAAUAUCUGCAUGCAUGAUGUUCCUUGUCCAUUCACAACUCAGAAAAAAAUGGCUAGAUCAGAUAUGAGAAAGAUAAUAAGACUUGUAGCUAUUGUUUUGACAGCAUAUAUCGCGUCAAAUGGAUGUGUAGUGAAUGGAAGAUCCAUACACAGUGAAGUCGUAGAGCUGGAGAAGGAACUUGCGGCAAUAAACAAGCCAAGCAUAAAAACUAUUGAGGUGAGGUUAUGCUUUUAUGUUUUUAGGGUUUUUAUUUCAUUGAAAAACUUCAAAAAAGAUUAUAUUUUUCUUUUUUCCUAUAAAUUAUUACAUUGUUUUGAUUUUUUGGUUAUCACAGACAGAGUAUGGAGACAUAUAUGACUGUGUGGACAUAAACAAACAACCUGCUUUUGACCAUCCACUGCUUAAGGAUCACAAAGCCAAGGUUUAUUGCCUAUGUUUUGAUCUUAUGAACCUAAGAAUAGAAGUUUUGAGUAUUUUAUGUGUGCCUUAAGAUGAUUUUGCUACAAGUUUUGAGUAAAUAAUAUUGUUGACGUUUCCUUUUCCUUCCCACCUUUGUGAGAAAAGACGAGGCCUAGCUUAGCUUUGGAAAAGAUUUUAAGAGCUUCAAGGAAGGAUGCCUCUCUAUUGGAGACUAACCCUGCAAAAAUAGGGUUGGAAGAAGGGUGCCCUGCAGGAUCUGUCCCUCUACGAAGGGCCACAAAGGAAGAUUUGAGAAGGGCUAAAUCUAGUUUCAAAAGACUAUCGAGUUUUGAACCAAGUAACCCUGGUCAAGGUUAUGAUGUAAGUAAUAAAUAACCUCCACUAUAAAUUCUCAUAUAUAUUUUUUGUAUUAAUACUUCAUUUGAUUUAUAUGGUCCAUGUAUUAUUACUUAAUCACUGUUUCGUACUCAACAAAAGUAAAAAAAAAACAAAAUAACGUAUUUCUGAGAUUAACGUUUGGUAAUUAAAACACAAAGUUCAAAAGAAAUUGGAUUUAAUUUCAUCUUACCAAUUCCUCGUAUUAAAAUUCUAAAUAAAAUAGCCUUAUCCCAUGAAAUUUUUUCUCUAUUUAGUUUGCAGGAAUUGUUACAACACCACCAGCCAAUGUAUUAUUUAAGGGGAUUUCAGCACGCAUUAGCGUAUACCAGCCUCCUGUUAGUGGUCAGCAAUCAAGUACAGCUCUGAUUCAGCUUCAAACUCAGACUGAAACAAAAGUGGGCAGUAUUCAAGUUGGAUGGACAGUAUAUUUCUAAACUACAUUAUUAAUUUCUUAAUUAUCAAAGAAAUAUUAUUCUUUAAUUAAUUAUAGUUUUCUCUAUGUUUUUUUCCUUAUCCAAUAUUAUAUGAUUCUUGUUACCUUCUGCAGAUUGAUCCAGAAUUGUAUGAUGACAGCAGGGCUAGAUUGUUCACCAAAUGGUGUGUAAGAACAUAGUUUCCUUGUUUCUUGGAUACAUACGUUGUAAGAGAAAUGUAAUGGAUUUUGAACAAAUUUUCUUUCUUCCACAGGAAGAACAUGAUGGAACUGUAGACUGUUGUUACAACACACUUUGUUCAGGAUUUGUUGUAACAAAUCCAAACAUUCCUAUUGAUACAGCUUUUAACGAUGUCUCUAUUGCUCAACGAUCCCAAGUUUUCCAGUGGAUGAUGGUAACUCUGGUAUGAUUUCCUCACUUUCUGGUAUUUUUCUCAGUAGAAGGUUUAAUGGAUUUUGGACUACAGAAAGGGAACACUCAGGCAACCCUUCUUAAUAUUUGAAAGUGAAUCAAAGGGCAACCCUUUUUCACCUGUGUAUCUAGCCCUAGGAAUCACUGUUUAUCUUGAUAGCGCCCAGAAAUGUAUCUGAAAUAUUAAAAUAAAAAUAAAAUUGGCAAUCCUUCUCCUCUAUUGAUAUCAUGAGAAAGUUGGUGGUAUUUGUUGAAAAAACAACAUAAAACCAUUUUUUGAAAACUCAAAGAUUAAGCAGUAAAGUUUAUCGCCUAUUUGACCUUCUUCUUUUUGUUAUAAUCUUGGCAUGCAGGAUCCAUUAAGCCAAGACUGGUGGCUGUCAAUGCAGGAUGAUAACAUUCGAAUAGGUUACUGGCCGAGAGAAUUGUUCUCAUUCUCCGGAUUUAGUGUUGGAGGUUACAACGCAACAUGGGGAGGUCUGGUCCAUACCGGAACUGAUGUUUCACCCGCCAUGGGAAGUGGUAUUUUUGAAGAUGGGAACUACAAUUCAACUUGCAACAUGGUAAAGGUUCAAGUCAACAUAGGAAAUACAUUCGUGUCUCCUUAUGACAAUCCUGUGCAAGUUCUACAAUCUAGAUGUUUCAAAGCUAGUAAGCAGAAUAUGUUAAAUAAUAUUUAUGUUGUCUUAUUUAUUAAGGGUAGAAUAGUACUUUCAGUUUAACCUAUAUAUACUUUAUUUGUAAUUAGGUUAAGACUAUGCAUUCAUAAUAUACAGUUUAUUCAGAAUUCUAGCCUCCUUUUGUGUUUGAUCUCAAUUAGUUUAACAUGGUAUCAGAGCUGGUUUUAUGGAACGAAGUUUAAUCCCAAAUACAGCUUCGCGGAUCCAACUUAGGUAUUUCGAUAGUUCUACAAUUUUUUUUUGGAGUGAUAUUUUGUCUUCCGCUUCUGCAAAAUUAGGUAUUUCGAUAGUCUCUGCAAUUAUUUUGGUAUUUCGACAGUUUCUGUAAUUAUUUUGGUAUUUCGUCUUCCCUUCAGCUUCUGCAAUUUGGUAUAUGCGUUCAGUUUUUGCAAAUUUGUUUUGUGUUUUGGGAGUAAUCGUAUAAUUUCGAGAAGAUAUUUGUUUAGUUUCUGCAAUUGAGUAUUUUGUCUUCCGCUGCGUUUGCAUUCUGGUUAUCUGUGAUUGUUGAAUAUGGCUACUGAAAGAGAUGAUUCGCUUCAGUCUGUGAGUGUGAGGUUGGAUGGGAAGAACUAUUCAUAUUGGAGUUAUGUAAUGAGAAAUUUCCUUAAGGGUAAGAAGAUGUGGGGGUAUGUUAGUGGAACUUAUGUGAUACCUAAGAAUAUUGAGGAGGGGGAUGCUGGUUUGAUAGAUACAUGGGAAGCAAAUAAUGCAAAGAUCAUUACUUGGAUCAACAAUUCUGUUGAGCAUUCAAUAGGUACGCAGUUGGCGAAAUAUGAGACAACAAAAGAGGUUUGGGAUCAUCUGCAAAGGUUAUUCACACAAUCAAAUUUUGCAAAACAGUAUCAAUUAGAGAAUGACAUACGAGCUCUUCAUCAGAAGAAUAUGAGUAUUCAAGAGUUUUAUUCUGCUAUGACAGAUCUUUGGGAUCAAUUGGCUCUUACAGAAUCGACAGAAUUAAAGGCAUGUGGUGCCUAUAUUGAGCGUAGAGAGCAGCAAAGAUUGGUACAGUUUUUAACAGCACUUCGCAGUGAUUUCGAAGGACUUAGAGGUUCAAUUCUGCAUCGUUCUCCACUGCCUUCUGUUGACUCUGUUGUCAGUGAGUUAUUGGCUGAAGAAAUACGUUUUCAGUCUUAUUCUGAAAAAGGAAUUCUUUCUGCUUCAAAUCCUUCUGUACUAGCAGUACCUUCUAGGUCAUUCUCUAAUCAUCAGAAUAAGUCUCACACAAGGGUUGGCUUCGAUGAGUGCAGCUUCUGUAAGCAGAAAGGUCAUUGGAAGGCUCAGUGUCCUAAGUUGAGACAUCAGAAUCAAGCUUGGAAGCCUGGCAAUCAGUCACAAUCUAAUGCUCAUAGACCACCUCAGGGUUAUAAACCACAACACCACAAUACUGCAGCAGUAGCUUCCUCGAGUUCUAUUACCGAUCCUAAUAUUUUGGCUGAGCAAUUUCAGAAGUUUCUCUCCUUGCAGCCACAAGCAAUGUCCGCUUCUUCUUCCAUAGGUCAGUUGCCUCAUAGUUCCUCAGGUAUGUCACAUUCUGAAUGGGUCUUGGAUUCUGGUGCUUCUCAUCAUAUGUCUCCAGAUUCCUCAUCUUUUACCUCUGUAUCCCCUUUGUCCUCCAUUCCUGUUAUGACUGCUGAUGGCACUCAAAUGCCCUUAGCAGGUGUUGGUUCUGUUGUCACACCUCACAUGUCUCUCCCUAAUGUUUAUCUUAUUCCACAACUCAAAUUGAAUCUUGCGUCUGUUGGUCAAAUAUGUGAUUCUGGUGAUUAUUUAGUCAUGUUUUCUGGUUCCUUUUGUUGUAUACAGGAUCUGCAGUCUCAGAAGCUGAUUGGGACAGGCCGUAGGGAGAAUGGACUAUAUAUUUUGGAUGAGUUAAAAGUGCCAGUUGCUGCUGCUGCCGCUGCUACUACUACAGUUGAUUUGUCUUCCUUUCGUUUGAGUAUUUCAUCUUCUAGUUUUUAUUUAUGGCAUUCCCGUCUAGGUCAUGUUUCGUCUUCUCGUUUGAGAUUUUUGGCAUCCACAGGAGCUUUAGGAAAUUUGAAAACUUGUGACAUUUCUGAUUGUAGUGGAUGUAAAUUGGCAAAAUUUUCCGCCUUACCUUUUAAUCGAAGUAUUUCUGUUUCUUCUUCACCAUUUGAUUUGAUUCAUUCUGAUGUAUGGGGACCUUCUCCUGUUGCCACAAAAGGAGGGUCUCGAUAUUAUGUCUCUUUUAUUGAUGAUCAUACUCGUUAUUGUUGGGUUUAUUUAAUGAAACAUCGUUCUGAAUUCUUUGAGAUAUAUGCAGCUUUUCGAGCUCUUAUCAAAACUCAAUAUUCUACUGUGAUCAAAUGCUUUAGGUGUGAUUUAGGUGGGGAAUACACUUCUAAUAAAUUUUGCCAAUUGCUUGCCCUAGAUGGAACCAUCCACCAAACUUCAUGUACAGAUACUCCUGAGCAAAAUGGUGUUGCUGAAAGAAAAAAAAACAUAGGCACAUUGUCGAAACUGCUCGUUCUCUCUUGUUGUCUGCUUUUGUUCCUAGUGAGUUUUGGGGAGAAGCUGUUCUUACUGCUGUAAGCUUGAUUAAUACAAUUCCAUCUUCUCAUAGUUCGGGUCUAUCUCCUUUUGAAAAGUUAUAUGGGUAUGUCCCUGAUUAUUCCUCAUUUAGAGUCUUUGGUUGUACUUGUUUCGUUCUUCGUCCUCAUGUAGAACGAAGUAAGCUAUCCUCUCGAUCCGCUAUUUGUGUCUUUUGGGCUAUGGUGAAGGUAAAAAGGGUUAUCGUUGUUUUGAUCCAAUAACUCAGAAACUUUAUGUGUCUCGUCAUGUUGUCUUCCUUGAGCAUAUACCUUUCUUUUCUAUUCCAUCCACUACUCAUAACCUGACUAAAUCUGAUCUUAUUAGUAUAGAUCCAUUUUCUGAGGAUUCUGGUAAUGAUAGCUCUCCCCAUGUUCGAUCAAUUUGUACUCAUAACUCUGCAGGUACUGGUACUUUACUCUCUGGCACACCUGAAGCUCCAUUCUCAUCUACAGCCCCUCAAGCUUCAUCUGAGAUUGUGGAUCCACCUCCACGUCAGUCCAUCCGUAUUCGUAAGUCCACAAAACUACCAGAUUUUGCUUAUUCUUGUUAUUCUUCAUCAUUUACUUCCUUUUUAGCCUCUAUUCAUUGUCUUGUUGAGCCCUCUUCCUAUAAAGAGGCAAUUCUUGAUCCGCUUUGGCAGCAAGCUAUGGAUGAGGAACUUUCUGCAUUGCAUAAGACAGAUACUUGGGAUCUGGUUCCUCUACCUCCUGGUAAGAGUGUUGUUGGUUGUCGUUGGGUGUAUAAGAUCAAGACUAAUUCUGAUGGGUCUAUUGAGCGAUAUAAAGCUAGGUUGGUUGCCAAAGGAUACUCUCAACAGUAUGGUAUGGACUAUGAGGAGACAUUUGCUCCGGUUGCAAAAAUGACUACUAUUCGUACUCUUAUUGCCGUAGCUUCGAUUCGUCAAUGGCAUAUUUCUCAACUUGAUGUUAAAAAUGCCUUCUUGAAUGGAGAUCUUCAAGAAGAAGUUUAUAUGGCACCCCCUCCUGGUAUUUCACAUGACUCUGGAUAUGUUUGUAAGCUUAAGAAAGCAUUAUAUGGUCUCAAACAAGCACCCCGUGCUUGGUUUGAGAAAUUCUCUAUUGUGAUCUCGUCACUUGGCUUUGUUUCUAGCAGUCAUGAUUCUGCUCUUUUUAUUAAGUGCACUGAUGCAGGUCGUAUCAUUCUGUCUUUAUAUGUUGAUGACAUGAUUAUUACUGGUGAUGACAUUGAUGGUAUUUCAGUUUUGAAGACAGAGUUGGCUAGACGAUUUGAGAUGAAGGAUUUGGGUUAUCUUCGAUAUUUCCUGGGUAUUGAGGUAGCAUACUCACCUAGAGGUUACCUUCUUUCUCAGUCGAAAUAUGUUGCAGAUAUUCUUGAGCGGGCUAGACUUACUGAUAACAAGACUGUGGAUACUCCUAUUGAGGUUAACGCAAGGUACUCUUCUUCUGAUGGUUUACCUUUGAUAGAUCCUACUUUAUACCGCACUAUUGUUGGGAGUUUGGUAUAUCUCACCAUUACUCGUCCAGAUAUUGCAUAUGUUGUUCAUGUUGUUAGUCAGUUUGUUGCUUCUCCUACUACUGUUCAUUGGGCAGCUGUUCUUCGUAUUUUGCGAUAUCUUCGGGGUACAGUUUUUCAAAGUCUUUUACUUUCAUCCACCUCUUCCUUGGAGUUGCGUGCAUACUCUGAUGCUGAUCAUGGUAGUGAUCCCACAGAUCGCAAGUCUGUUACCGGGUUUUGUAUCUUUUUAGGUGAUUCUCUUAUUUCUUGGAAGAGCAAGAAACAAUCUAUUGUUUCUCAAUCAUCCACCGAAGCAGAAUAUCGUGCCAUGGCAUCUACUACCAAAGAGAUUAUUUGGUUACGUUGGUUACUUGCUGAUAUGGGAGUUUCCUUUUCCCAUCCUACUCCUAUGUAUUGUGACAACCAGAGUUCUAUUCAGAUUGCUCACAACUCGGUUUUUCAUGAGCGGACUAAGCACAUUGAAAUCGAUUGUCAUCUUACUCGUCAUCAUCUCAAGCAUUGAACCAUUACUUUGCCUUUUGUUCCUUCUUCAUUGCAGAUUGCAGAUUUCUUUACCAAGGCGCAUUCCAUAUCUCGUUUUCGUUUUCUAGUUGGCAAACUCUCGAUGCUUGUAGCUGCCGCAUCGUGAGUUUGAGGGGAGAUGUUAAAUAAUAUUUAUGUUGUCUUAUUUAUUAAGGGUAGAAUAGUACUUUCAGUUUAACCUAUAUAUACUUUAUUUGUAAUUAGGUUAAGACUAUGCAUUCAUAUUAUACAGUUUAUUCAGAAUUCUAGCCUCCUUUUGUGUUUGAUCUCAAUUAGUUUAACAGAAUACACAUCCCGAUUACCGAUUUCAGUUUGGAGGACCCGGUGGUUUGCCUAAUGCUUGUGUAGCUUGAGAGUAUGAACUGGAUAAGUGGAAAACAUGUUCUUAGUUUUAUGAACACGCAAUGCUUGUUAAUGGUUAAGAGUUGCUUAAUCAGUUCUAGCAAGCCUUUCUCCUCCUUUUGAGUUCUAUGUUUUUCCACUUGUUAAAUCAAUUGAAAACAAAGGAAACUGAAAAUCUUCAAAAGGGAUUUCAUAGACAUAGAAUUGUAAGAAAAAAACUCGAUAUCCCAUGUAAUAGUUCGAAAUGAAUCAUCAAUAUCAAUACCGAGGAGACAAAAUCCAAAUCUUGUCAUGGCAUUAAAGCGUUUUGUAAUAUCUUUUCCAUAAGGUGUAUGAUGUUUUCGAAAAAUAUUUUUUAAAUAAGAGGUAAAAACCAUAUCCUUUCUCUCGUUCAACGAAUUGAGUUCAGAAUCGAAUGUCUUAAUUAGUCUGUGCCCACAAUUAAAGCAGUCAAGAUAGAGGUUAGUCUAUCUUGGACAAUGGAAAAAAAGUCAACUGUUAUUUCAUUCAUUCUGAUUGCAAUAAUAUAGUGGGAAAAAAAGUCCAUUUUGUCUCAUCCAACUAAUUAUAUUAUUGUAGUAUACUUUUCAUACUGGACAUUAAUGGUAUUCAUCAUGCAAGGCUGACCGAAAGGUCUAUUUCGAAUAAGUAGUUGUGCUUGAAUUGAAAAUAAUAUUAGUAACAGUAAUGAUUAGUAAUUAGUUAUUAUACUUUUUUAAAAAAAUAUUAUAUAUUAAAUGGAUUAUGGUAUAAUUAAAACACACUAAUAUAUAUCAAUAAUAUAUAUAUUUUUGUACUUCAAAAUAACAAUAUUUAGUAAAUGUUGUUUUUUAAAAACAUGAGAAUGUAAAAAUAUGUAAUUUCAUUAAAAAAAAAUUAAAAUUGUGUUAUUCCACAAAAAAUUUAAAUUGCUGUACUAAUUUUUUUUAAAAUCCUUUAUUUAUCAUGUCCAAAUCCCAAAAAUGCAUGAUGACAGAACUACAAUAUUACAGUAGAUUCAACAAUCCUUUAUUCACUUAAUUUUUUUUUUGUUAUAAAUCAUAAGAUUGCAAUAUUAAAAUUUGAGAUUGAAGAAUGGUAAAAAUUUAUAACUUUCAAAGCCUAGCAGUGAAUUGAUGGUGGUGGUGAUGGUUGUUGUAACCCAUUUUUGGGUCCCCACAUAAAAAAUGAUAAAAUAUAAAAAAAUCAAAAAAUAUAUUAUAAAAAAAUAUAACAGUGAAAAAAUGUCAGAGCGCCCUAAAAAUGUUCAAAAAUUGAUUGAGGAUGUUCAAAAAUAUAAAAAUUAAUUUUUGACAGUAUAUCAUUGACUGAUGAGAGCCCCGAUGAUAAAGAAAAUUCAAUUUGAGGAAGACAAAUGCAAAAUUAGAAGUUUAUGGACUCAAUUAAAUUUUAUUGAAGGUUUAAUUGAAUUUAUGGAGUUUUUAAUUGCAAGAAAAUUUGAUUUUGGAGUUAAUUUGGGCUUUAAUUGGAAGAAAUUGAAGUUCUGGGGUCAAAUUAUAAUUUUUAGAAGUUAAUUUGGUCAAAUCAGGGGCUUAAUUGCAUAAAUAUUGAAGUUUGAUGGCCAAUUAGGGACUUAAUUGAAGAAAUCCGAGACCAAGGACUAAAUUGAAAAACGCGCGCAACUUAAAGGCCUGCUUUGAAUCACGCGUUUUGGCGCCUUUUCCUUUUAAAUGAAACGGCGCGUUUUGACCAAAACGGCGCCGUUUCAUGCACUGUUUAAAAAAAAAAAAAAAAGGAAAACCCAAAACGGUGCCGUUUUGAAACGGCACCUUCAUCUUCUUCCCUGCGCACGCAGAGAACAGGGGAGAAUAAUUUUUUUUUUUUCCACUUUUCGCCGAACUUCUUUACCGGAUUUGGCGCAAUAAGACGCCUACCAUUCGACGCCCACUUGCCUCCUUUUUAUCCAUUGAACGGAUAGUGGAGGGGCGGCCAACAGUGGCCGCCCCACCAUUCGCCCCCCCUGUUUUUGGCUAUAAAAACAGGGGAGGGAGAACAGAAGAAAAAAGAAAAAAAAAAGGAGACCGAGGGAGGGAAUAGAAGAAAAGAGAAGGGAGAGACAGAGAGAGGAAAGCAGGAGAGAAGGCAGAGAAGAGAAAGGAAGAAGCAGAGAAGAAAACAGAAAAAUACAGAGGAGAGAGAGAGAGAAGGAAAACCGCCCGGCCACCGCGAACCGCCAGCACCGCCACCACCUCCCCUGCUGCAUCAGCUGCUGCCAGGAUCAACACCGUUCCAGGUAACUUUCUCCACUGUCAUUUUUUUUGCUUCGGCUUCGGCUUCAUCUGCAUGCAAAACGUUUACGUUCUGCAGCAGAUGAAGAUUAAUUAGCUAGUUACUGUGCUGUGCACAGUAACUGGCUAAUUAAUUCACGGAGUAACCCGGUUACUAUGCACGCUAAUUAAUUCUCUGGUUACUGUGCACAAAGUAACCCGGUUACUAUGUGCACAGUAACCAGCCCAUGCAUUUGGGCCAUGUUCGGCCCAGCCCAUGUAAAAGGGCCAGGUUUGGCCCAACCCAUGCAAUUGGGCAUGAUCUGGCCCAUUAAAAAAAGAAAAAAUAUUAUUGUUUUAAAAAAAAUAUUUAUGAUGUUCCCAUUUUUUAUUUAUGUUAUUUUUAUUAAUAUCGGGUAGUAUUUUUAUGUCGUAAAAAUACAAAUCGGGUAUUAAAAUACUCGUUUUUUUUUUUGUCACAAACUUUCAAAAAUACAAAAAAAUUAAAAAAAAAAACAUUUUUGUGCAUACGGCCAAGUGUCUCAAAUCUAAAAUAUCAUAUCGUAUUUUUCAUAUGUCAAAAAACAAUAUUUUAGCAUGCAUUUUGGCUUUAAUAACCAGUUUAUUAAAGUCAAGAGAACAUUGGCCAAAAUCUCAAAAAAAACAACAAAAUAUUUUGUUUUGUUUGAUUUUAGUAUCAAGGAUUAUGAAUUUAUACAUAAAUCGUAUUCCUGAUAUUAAAAAGAUAUUUUCUUUUGACGGCUUCGAAUAGUUAGUUUUUUACCCGAUAAAGAUAAGGAUCUCCUUACAGGAGGACUUUUCUUAAACCGUAAACGAACCAACAAUUCAAAAACCACAACACGAUUUUAGAUUUUAUCAGACAUUAAAACAAUGCAGCCUACCUUAGGUAGGGCGUAGUUGGGGUGCUAAUACCUUCCCUUUACGCAACCAGUCUCCGUACCCGAUCUCUAAAGACCAGUUAAGGUUCCUAGUAACCAAAAUACUAGGUGGCGACUCCCAGUCCAUAUUUUCACUUGUAGAGACAAGAAUUCCAUGUCUCUCCUUUUUUUUUUUAAGGAAUAAAUAUUUCCAAUUUUUUCCUUGAGGGUGGACGAUCGCCGCGCCGCCGCACACGUGCGACAAUGGUAGUGAAAUAUAAAUAUAAACUGGCGGUGAGGAGAUUUCACGAAUGGGGAGGUGAAUGGUAGUUGUAGAGUGGAAAUGGUGACGAUGGACAUGAAGAUGGAGACUUCUAAACACACAAAGGAGAGAGAGAUAGGGAUUUUGGUGAGGCAACCUGUAGUAAUAAGAGUAGGCUGAAAUUUUUCUUUUUUUAUAUAAAAAAAUUAUUAUUCAAUUUCAAUCAAAGAAGUUAAUAUUCUAUUCAAGAAAAUAAAUUUAUAUAUCUCUUAAUCAAUUUAACUCAAUAGCUUAAAUUGUUACGUGAUGUUUUAAGAUAUAAUUUAUAUUAUUAUCUAACAUUUCCUUUUAAUUAAAAUCCUUUAAACUUAAAACCUGCACAAGUCUAUACUAUAUAUAUCUUGUGUUUAAUUUUUAUUAAAUAAAUAAAAAUAAUGAAAUUAAAACUUGUAAAUACUUUGUUAUCAAAACUUUAAUACAUAAACAGCAAUUUAAUUAAACACAUUUAUUUGAUACAUGUUAUUCAAAUAACUUCAUUUAUUUACUAUUUCGAAAGUUGACAAGAAGUCAUGAUUAUUCUCGGUUCAUACAUGGAUAGCAAUUUAAUUAAGCCCUUCUAAAUAUGAAAGGAAAGGCAGGACCAUCCAAGACCAGCAAGCGCUUUCCAUUCUCAUCAAUAACACCAGCAGAUCCACACCUUGGCCGAGGACAGUUUGUUGUCAGGCAAUUCGGGCACCAUCUCAAAGCAUAGACACCUUGUCCAUUGUUUUCAAUGUUGAAGUACCAGAGUGUAGACGACGGCCGUGGCUCCGUUCCAGUCACAACGUAUCUCCUCCUCGUUUCUGGAUUCUCCUCGCCGACCAUCCACGCAGUGGAUUGAACACAAGUUGAGGCUCCGGAGAAUGCAACGGUGAAGUCUCUGGACUCCCUUAUAAUUGUGUCUCCAACACGAGGAGUGAAAACAACCGGAAUACCUCGGGACACCAUAGGUGCAAGAGGUUCUUGACCAACAUAAAGUGGACACGAGCCAUUCCGAUCAACAAGGGUCAGACCACCUCCAACAUCGGUUACACCUGGAAGUACAUAGUAUUCUACCCCACUUCUAAGAGGUUGUCCAUCAGCAUCAAGCACAGGAGGCCAGGGUUGAGCCGCUGUUGAAAUGGUCAUAAGUAGCCAGAUGAAGCUCAAGCUUCCAAUCAGUCUCGACAUGGCUGCCUAGCUAGCUAUCUCACACAACAAAACAAAGUAAAUAGUAAAUACAGUGCUGUUUUUUUUUCUUUUUUCUUAAGAGUAUUCUAUGAGCAAUUUGGUAAGCCCUCUCUGCAUCUUGAGUCUCAGAUUUGCAAUCUAUUUAUAGCUGAGGGAGCCGACGUACCGUAUUUCUCUAUGACGGCACGGCAACAAAAAAGUCAGGCAGUAAUUAUCCGUUUUCAUAUGUGUUUAUAUUAUUAUCCAAUUCAUUGUUAAUUGCUUGUACCAUAAGGAUGUAAUUCAUAAAUAUUAGGCCUCAUUGUGGGCCGGGCGAUUGGGAUUGUGGUCGAAUUGUUGAACUGUUAUUUUUUAAAAGAAUUUAAUCUCACUUAAUUAAUAAAUUAAUGUAAAACUAUUAUUAAUUGUCAUAAAAAAAAACGGAGAACACAUAAAAUUGAAGUUAAAUCUUAUUCAAGAACGGGCAACUCAGAUGAGACUUGAAAUGGGCUUUAUUUUGAUUUGUUUUGGACAUUUAACUGGUUAAAUCUGAAUAAUUAACUUGGUAGAUUGAUUGUACAAAACCCCAAUGGGACUCAAUCAUGUUAGCUUCAAGAAUAUAUAUUUUUUAUUUUAUCUGAAAUUAAUUUGCUUUAAUUGAUCCAAUUAUAUAUAGCCCUAAACAAGGUCAAAUAUUAGCUGAAUUUUACAACUAUAUAUGAUUAUAUGUCCCUUGUAUAUCAAAUGAUCAAAUAUCGGAAGCUCUUUUUUGUGAACAAAAAAACAAAAAGAAGAACAGAAGAAAAAUUUGAAUCUCUCAGCUUAUCUCAGCCAGGAGUAUAAAAACCAUAAAAAUGGGCAGUUUGAAAUAUUGAUAUUUGUAUAGCUUUGAAUUGAAAAAUAAAGCAGUCAAGAGGUUAUCUUGAAAAAUGAAAAAAAAAAAAAAACCAUUCCGAUUGCAAUAAUGUACUGGAAAAAAAGUCUAUUUUGUUUUUGUCUCAUCCAACUAAUUAUAGAGACCCUCCAUGAACAGGGAUUGGAUUAUGUUGACUAAAUGUUUUGGUUGACCUCAUAGCACAACCAAUUAGACAACAACACGUGUAUAAAAGCAAUUUACAAAAAGGGUGUUUCAAUCAUCCCUCCGUCAUGGCCUGCAUCUUUUCUAAAAUUCAGCUUCAAAUUUUCUAAUUUUACUGCUAUGCAUUUACACGUAGAAGCAGGGAGGAUGCAGAGGUCUAUCAAGUCUGUUAGCAGAAAUCAAUUUGAGGAGGCAAAUGGACUUUUCGUUGCCGUGCCUUCAUUAACGUGCUAUCUUGUAGAAAUGUUGCAUAUAAAUAGACAACGAAGGGAAAACAUAUUACACAUAUAUUGUAUGUUUCUGUGUUACUCAGGCAGCCAUGUUGAGGUUGAUUACAAGCUUGAGCUCCAUUUGUCUACUGAUGGCCAUGUCGAGUAUGGCUCAGGGCCCUCCUGUGCUCGAUACAGAUGGUAACCCUCUUACAAGAGGUGUAGAAUACUAUGUCGAUCCUGCUAUAACUGAUGUAGCCGGUGGCUUAACUCUAGUGGCUCGCAAUGGAUCUUGUCCAUCUUAUGUUGGUCAGGUGCCAAUUGGACCUGGUUCUGUUGAAGGCCUUCCGGUCAUCUUCACCCCAUCAAAUCCAGGAGAUACAAUUAUCACUGAAACUACAGAGUUCACUGUUGCAUUUUCAGCUUCCUCGACAUGUGUUCAAAACACUACAUGGGGUAUAGGCGAGGAAGAUCCAGAGACGAGGAGAAGAUUUAUUGUGAUCGGUGGUGAGCCAACCGUCUUUGAUAUUGACAGUGAUCAAGCAAAACUUUGAUAAGAAAUCUAAAAAUAAUAUUAUUUUAAUAUAUUUUUUAUUAAAAAUUAUUUUUAAAAAACAUUCUACACCACAUUAAAAAACAAAAAAAUCAUGUAGCUUUUUAUAUUCUUCCAAACUUUUUAUCCAAAGGAAUUAAGUUCAGUUUGACAAAAUAUUUAGCUUUUGUUUGGUAUUAUGUUCCAAGCACACAUCGAGUAAAUUUAGAGAUAAUUUUGUUUAAAAUUAAUUUGCAUUCGUGUCACUGUAUUAUCCUUUGAUAAGAAACAUUUGCAAAUUUCUUUUCUUAGAGAGGAAAUCUGUUGCUUUUAUGGAUGUAAGUACGUUGAAGACAAAAUAAUAAAACAAAAGCUUUUCGAAAGCCAAGUUUACCUUAUUUUUUCUUGUAUAAUCUGCAAAUUCACCUUGUUCUGUGCAUCCAACAGGAAACGACCAUGGCAAGGGCUCUGAAAAUAAGAACAAAAGACAAUGGCAAGGUGCCUGUUUCUUGCCAGGCAUGGCUGUAUCUGUUAGUGUUGCUCAACCAUGGAACCGUUGAUACUUGAUCAAAAUGGAAUUUCAGAUCAGACGAAUGUCAGGGAGAACGCGAAAAACCAUUCGAAUUAUCAUCAAUCUAGCUCAUGCGUAGCACUGCCACUGUCAACAACAACAUGAGCAGUACGAAUAACAACUCUUUUCCUUAAACCUCACUCUUCCAACCUCUACUUGGCCUGCAAACAUGGUUGCUCAACCAUGCUACCCACAGUUCCGAUCAAAAACAAAAACUCUUAGAAACUUGUCCUCCAAAUCAAUGACAAACUAAAUUCCAAUCUGCUCCCACCACUCCCAAUGAGGGAAAAAACGCCUUAUUUAAGAGCCUCAAUCCCAAGCACUAGGCUGGACCAACCCACCAUAUGGAGGCACCACCGACAUCCACCAUGGACAGCCCUUCACAAAUCAGAGUCAUAGCUGUCACAGCAGGAAGUACCCACAGCUGGAUGCUUCCUUUUUACUAUUCAGAUAUUGAGAUAGAGAUGGAUGAAUUAGAGAUGCUUUCAUACGGUCCAAUCUUACAGAUAUCUAUCAUUUACUUUCAACGAUUAAUAAGUUAAGUGAGAAUGAUAUAUAUAACUUAUAUUAUUUUUUAAUAUAUCUUUUCAACUGAAAACAUUUUAAGUUUGAAAAUUUGGAUAAAAUGAAAUAAUAUAUAAAAAAUGAAAUUUGGAUAAAAUGAAAUUUAGCUUUAUAUUCACAUUUGAAUCCCCAACAUUACGUACUAAGUUAAUUAUCAAUAUUAUAUACCUUAUCUAGUAAGCUUGCCUAGCACAAAAUCUAGAUGGGUAAGGCAGGGUACACAUAUUAAUAUCAAUGAAAGAUAUUAAUGAAAAUUAAUGCAAAUUGUCUAGUUAUAUAUUAUUAGAAGAAAUUUCUUACCUUAAAGAAAAUGUUGUCAAAUCUUCUUUUAUCUAUCAUUUUAGUACUCAUUGCAUAAAUUCCAAGCCAUAAAGAAAACUCCAAAAGUAAAAUCAUUAUUGGUGUUUUAUUUUAAAUGUUACAAGGCUAAAACCAAUAAUAACAUGCUAAAAUAAUAUAUGAUAUUUGAAGAUAUAAUAUUAGAACAAUAUAAAACCUUUUUGAAAAACUAUAUAGCUUCAUAUCCAUAAGUAUUGUUCGUAAUGGUAUUUUUGUCCUUUCACCUAAAAAAACUUUACAUUGUCGUCUAAGGGCAAUGAAAUCUUUGACAUGGCUUAUUUAUCAUUUUUAAAUUGAUGAAGGACAAAUAAAUGUUUUUCUCAUCUUGAUUUCAUAGUUGAACGAUUGGAAGAAAAAAAAAAAUUUAACCUGGAUUCAAGGGGUAUUUUCAUACUUUUCACAAUGGUUUUUUAGUUAUUACAAUGCAAGUUGAGGGACAAUUUAAUAGUUAAUCAAAUAUAAAAAAAAUAAUAAAUUAUUAAAAUUCAUAGUAAAAUGAUAAGAAUACAUUUUAAAAAAAUCAUAAAAUCAAAGGGCAUGUUUAUUUUUUUACAAUAGUUUUUUUUAUAAUUAGAAAGUCAGCUCAUGAAUACAUUAUUAUUUAAUUAAAUAAAACUAAAUAUGUGUGUGGGGCACACCAGAGGGUGCAUGAGAGGCGCAUGCACCCUUUAUAUGGCUCAUAUGACGCCUCUCAAGAUCCAAAAAUAUCAUUAUUUCAUAUUAUGUUAUGUUCUCUUUUUAUUGGUAGAGUACGUGUUAUGGAGCGUUUUUCUUUCUUUCUUUUUUCAUUCUUUUUUUUUCUACUGAAAAUUACAACUUGCUUCUUUUUAUUAUUGAUAUUUCAACUUCAGUCUAUAUAUUUUUUAUUUUUUAUUUUUAGUCAUAGUCUUUGCAAGCCACUAGUGUCAAUCCACUAGUAGUAUUAGUUGCAGCUGACAAGAUGUUUAGGAGUAUAAUUGUGGUUAUUUUUUAAAGUAUUUUUCAUUCAGAUAUGCAUUAAAAUAAUAUUUUAUUAUUAUUUUUAAAAAAUAUUUUUGAUAUCAGCGCAUCAAAAUAAUUUGAAAACAUCAAAAAUAUAUUAAUUUAAAACAAAAAAAUAAAAAUAAAAAUUAUAUUUUUAAAAAACAUUUUUUAAAUACAAAAACAAACAAAAAAAAAAUAUUUUACAUCACUUCUAAGAGGUUGUCAAGCUUGAGUUGCAUAUGGCCAUUAGUAGCCAUAUAUGCAACUCAAGCUUCCAAUCAAUUUCAACAUGGAUGGCUUGUCUUGUAAAACAAAAAUAUUUGUAUAUAAAUAAUGAAUUUCUACAAAAUAUGUGUUUGUUAUUGUUACGUAGGGUUUUUUAAAAAAAAAAAUUUCAAUUAAAAUACAUUAAAAUAAUUAUAUUUUUAGUAUUAGGAUAUCAAAAUUAUUCAAAAUACUUAAACUGUAUCAAUUUAAUACUUUUUAAAGUAUAAAAUAAUUUAAAUAACACUUUAAAAAAUAUAAUAUAAUACAAAAACUAGUGUGUAUUGAAGUCUAUAUUGACAUCUAUCUCAGUAUUUCCUUUAAUUAGACUAUCUUACACGAAAUAUGAAUUGUAUUUUAAUUAGACUAUUUUAAUAUCAAUUGUAUUUUUUUUUUUCAAAUUAAUUUUUUUUUGUUUCCAAAUUAUUUUGAUACAUUGAUAUUAAAAUAAUAUAUUUUUUAAAAAAAUUUAUUUUAAUAUAUUUUUAAAUAAAAAAAUAUUUUUAAAAAUAAUCAUUAAAACACGUUAAGCCAUCAAAUUAAUUUGGGUUAUCAUGCUUGCUGCUAAAGUACAGGUCUUAUACACCAUAUCAACAAGAAAAACUUUUCAUUUAUAUAUAAUUUUUGCCAUGGCAGCUAAAAAGACUAAAGGCAAACAAAAGAUGGAAAUGAAGUGCAUUGAAAAUCAAGAUGUUAGGCUUGUAACAUUUUCUAAACGGUGAUCUAAGUAUCUACAAAUAGGUAAGUGAGCUUGGUACAUGAAAAUCUGUUUAGAAAUAUGAUUAUAGUUGUUUUUUAAAAUAUUUUUUAUUUAAAAAUAUAUUAAAAUAAUAUUUUUUAUAUAAGCACAUUAAAAUGAUCUAAAAACAUAUUAAUUUAAAAUAAAUAAAUAAAUUUUAAAUUUUUUUAAAAUAUUUUAAAAUGUAAAAACCAACAGGAAAUGUGCUGAAAUUCUGUUUGUUGUUUUUUCACCUCCUGGUAACCCCUUUUCCUUUGCUCAUCCUUCAAUGGAAUAUGUUACUGAUCACUUUCUUGGCGGACAUUCGCCAUUAGCGACGCCGCUCAGCAGCUUGUGGAGGCACGUAGGCAUGUAAGAAUUCAAGAAUUAGACAUCUAGAUUCUGAUACGGAAAAGGGUCAAGAACUAGAGGAAAAGUUGAUAGAGAACGAGAGAAAAGGAUGGUGGGAUGCUUCUAUCGAAGAGCUUAACUUACUAAAGCUUAUUGAGUCGGAGAAUAAAGUUCAAGACUUUACACACGUCCAUGUGCAACAAAGUCAUGGACAGCAAUAAUAGAGCUUCUUCUUCUUCUGCAAGAGUUCCACAAUCAAAUUAAUUAUCCUUCUUAAAAAAAUGUAUAUUCAUCUUUUAUUCUUAUCUUAUUUAUUUAUUUAUCUUUUAUUCUUAUAACCAUUUUCUUUUUAGUUCCAUCAUUAUUUGUUUUUGUGUUUAAAAGCGAUUGAGUGCAUUUGAUUUGAAAAAAAAAAAAACCAAAUUAAUGGAUUUUUAAAGCUUUUUGAUGGUUUUUGUGUACUGAUAUAAAAAAUUAUUUUAAUAUAUUUUAAAACAAAAAAUAUUUUUUAAAAACACGUGACCUUACAAUGCAAGAUGCAUAUUGAAUAUGUGUUUGAGAGUGUAUCUGUGAUUGCUUUUCAAAGUGUUUUUUCACUUAGAAAUACAUCAAAAUAAUAUUAUUUUAUUUUUUUAAAAUACUAAAAAAUAUAUUAAUUUUAAACAAAAAAAUUUUAAAAUUUUUAGAAUCACAAAUUGAGCCAUGUUCCCAUCAAUGUUCCUGUCAAGACAUUUCCACACUGCAUGCCUAAAAAUAGACAGCUCUAGAAUCUAAUUGUUUUUCUUGAAAGACAUAAUGUAAGGAGAGCUGUCCUUUUCUUAAAUGUAUGGUCUCAAAAAAGAGUCUUUUAUAUAGUUGAUUUUCCAGUAUUGUUUGAUUAACAAUAGUGUUUGAUGGCUCUGUGCCUUGCAUGUAGGCCACUGAGAGCUCUUACAAGGUUUUACUUACAAAUUGCUUAACCAGGAAUACGAGCAUGAGAAGACAAGGGAUGCAUGAAACUUUGUUUCGCUUUUUCUGGUUAAGUUGAUGAUAGCCAAAUAACUACAUGGCCCAUGGAAUUUUAAUGUGAAUGUACGGAUUAAUUUGUGUAUAUUUUAACUAAUCGUUUUAAAAUUUAAUAGAUUUCUUAAAUUUUCUCAACUUACUCACAAUUUUUUAUGAGGUUAUACUGCACUACCGAUAAACUUAGUGCAUUUACUUAACAUCUUCCAUUAAAAAUAGAAUCAGCAAUUCAUUUCCUCCUUGUUUGCUCAAUUCAAAGACAAUGUCAACCUCCUUACAAUCUAUCAUGAGAAUUUGGGAGAUGAUAUGCAAAGCACUCUUUGCUGUGAUGGUGACCUGACUUGCAAGUUGAAUCUUUAGCAGGGCCUGCAUGCAAUCGUUCAAAUCUUUACAUCCUGUGUGCCAAACAAGUUGGAAAAGCACAAGACGAGCGUCUUGCAUUCUAGCUUUUGGUUCACCUUCUGAAAUAAAAGGAUGGUCCCAAAAGACAAAAAGAAAAAAGAAAAAAGAAAAAAGAAAAAACUGAAAGGACAUCCAGUCUAGAGAGAUAAUUUUGAAUUUUCUUUGUUUCCUUACGGGUUGGUGAAAGAUAAAAAUGUUUUUAUGAUUUUCCCACCAAAAUUAUUAAACAUUACAUAAUUUCAAUCUACACUUUUACUUUUGGAUAUAGGCCAUUGACCUUGCUUGAGUUAAUUUUCCGAAUUCAAAGUCGAAAACAUUAAAAAAAAACACCCAGAAGAUAUUAAAAAUAAGAAUAGAGGGAGUAAAAUUAAUUAUUUAUGUGUGACAACAUAUAAUUAGAAAAUUUCGUCAACAGAAUAAACGGAUAUGUGACUUUUAUAAAUUUAAUCAUUUAUGUGUGACAACAAGUAAUAUAUAUAUAUAUAUAUAUAUAUAUAUAUAUAUAUAGGCUGAUGGAAAACAAACCCUUAAUUGUAUUAGGGUCUUGAACUCAUAGAAAUAUAUAGGCUGUGUAAAUACAGUCCAUUUGUUCCAUAGGCUUACUGCACCCCAGCUUCCAAGCCUAAGCUUUCCUAGAUAGGACGCAGCCUAUGUCCCAUCCAAAGCCCAAGCUAGCUAGGAGGGUGGUUUCAGCCCAUGUAAUCUUUUUUUUUUUUUUUUUAUAAAAAUUUUUUUUAAAAAAAUAAAAAUAAUUAUUUUAAUAUAUUUUAAAAUAAAAUAUAUUAUAAAAAAUAAUUUCUACCACACUUCCAAAAUAUACUUUAUAUUUAUAUUAUAUAUAUAUAUAUAUAUAUAUAUAUAUAUGAAAAAAUAAAGGGCAGUUUUAUAUUUUUUUUCAAAGAAUAAAAUUGAGAAUUUAGUAUGUUUUUAAAACUUUUUAAAGUCUUUUAUAGCCCUAAAUUAUUUUAAAGCUAUGAAUUUAGUAUUUAUACCUACACUUUUAUUUUGCUCAUCAAACCUUUUUUAUAAUAUUUGUUUAUCUUGUUGGAUCAUGUUUUUCAAAAAUUUUGAAGGUUUUUUAGUUUAAAAUUAAUUUUUUCAAUUAUUUUGAUAUGCUGAUAAUAUUUUUAAAAAAUAAUAUUUUUUUAUAUUUAAAGUUUUAAAUUUCUUUUUAUUGCCAUCUCUUUGAACAUAAUUUGGGUACUUUACAGGUCAAAUUGGAAGCAGAAAUAGAUAAAAACGCCUCACAAAUCACUUCAAAUCCACGACCAUUUAACACACAAAUACAUGGUUACAUAUCACAUAUAGAUUAUGCAUAAAACUAAGCGGUGCUGCGGAAUGGAGCUAUAGCUGGUGGAGCUGGAAUGUCACCGGACCCUUCAAGCAUCAAGAUCACAUUCUUGAUACAAGGACGUGAAGCUGGAUCAUGUUGAACGCAUAGCAGUCCAAUCUUCACCAUUAUUUCCAGUGACUCGAAUUCUAUAUCUUCAUCCUUCACAAGCUUAUCCAACUGUCCAGCUGCAAAGCAUUGAUAUGCCCAACUGGGAAGAUUCAUUUCAUCUGGUGUUGAGACGUCUACUUUUAUACUGCUUCUGCAACAGAUGAUCUCCAGAAGUACAACUCCGAAGCUGUAGAUAUCAGCUUUUACCGACAUCAAGGCGUUAUUCUGCCAUUCAGGUGCCAUGUGCCCUCGACUCUGUGAGAGUGCCAUCGAGCUUCUUAUUUCGUCUGGAUAUAAUAGCUUUGAUAAUCCGAAAUCGGAGAUUUUGGCCAUCCAAGAAUCAUCCAUGAGAAUGUUUUGAGGGGUUAUAUUGCAAUGGAUGAUGCAGGCUUGACACUCUUCAUGUAGAUAGAGUAUUCCUCGAGCUAUAUCCAGAGCAAUCCUCACUCUUUCUUUCCAAAUGGGGCGCCUCUCAGACUGGAAUAAAAGAUCGGCAAGGGUGCCGUUUCUCAAGUACUCGUAGACGAGAACCCUCCGAGAGCCCUCCACACAAAAACCAAGCAACCGAACCAAGUUUCUGUGAUAAGUUUGUCCAAUCACAGUGAUUUCUGCUCGAAACUUUUUUUCCCCUUCAUCUAAAACUUUCUCAAGUCUCUUAACAGCAACAGUUCUGUCACCCUCAGGUAUUGUCCCUCUGUAAACUGCACCAAUAGAACCCCUGCCCAGCUCUUCCAUGAAACCACCUGUAGCUUUCUCAAGCUCACUAUAAGAAAAUGACCGCAGAGUGAACUCUCCAGCCAAGCUUAUGAUUCCUGACAGCUUUUCGUAAAGAUAAGCUCGAUCCCUGUACACGCAGAAAGUAGAGAUUGCAAUGACAAAACACAAGAAAGUAACAGAGCCGAAUGCUAUAGCAAGAAACACAAGUAAACUUUUCUUGCUUUCUAUGAUGAUUGUCGGGCUCAUUGGAGGUGCAGCAGAAGAUGCUGCUUUCACUUUGAAGAAGGCUAUAGAUGAUAUGUUUGUAUCUUUUAAAACAUAUCGAAUUGGUGCAGUAUACUUUUCACACCUCUCAUUCAUAUAUAGAGCAACAUCACAAAGACAAUCUUCCAGGCAACACAAACCACAAUUUUCCUUCUUCACAUGUAGGACAGAAUAAGGAUAUCGCUCGAACAAUAUAUUCUCUACGGCUUUGACAUCGUACAUUUUCCCUUCUUUGGUGCCUCUGCAAAAACUUUCACGGACAUUCUUGUAGCAUCCACUGAAUUUCUCACUGGGGUCAUUGAAAGCAAAUCCAGGAUAACAGGAACAGUCAAAAUUAGUGCCCAUGCCAGAGCAAUAACUGUUGAAAUCACAGAAGCCACGAACAUUGCAUUGAUUAUUCAACGCAGACCACUCAAUAUGCACACUCCGGCUAGUUUUGUUCUCUAAGCAGUGUGAAUACAACCUGAAAAUCCCAUCAGCAUCAAGCGUCGCACGAAAGAUUGUUGUUUUGUUGUUACAGGGAUAAGAACUUCUUGCCAACAAGACUGGUUUUUUAGAGACCGUAUCCAUGGACAGAAAUCCCUGGUGAUUCAGAUAGAGAGACUCAACCCCUUUUUGUCUUGAUAAGUAUGACUGGCCCAGUAAGUAUCAACAUCUUGACGAGCGCUGUUUGUAGGGUAGGCGACAAGGUUUCCAUCUCCCUGCAUCCUGAGGAGAAACCUUCCACUGGAGUGAUUUGAGCUCGACACACUUGAAACCAAUCUAUCAGAAUAAGUAAGAUUCUGACCUACUAAUAUGGUGUCAGUUGGGUGAUAAAAGCUUUGCCAAAUAACAGAAGAAUCAUUGUAAAGCACGAAAUUACCAGAAUCGAGCAUUGAAGCUGAAGCUGCGACUUCUGAAAAAUAAGCAAUAAGAUUUUCGUUGCCCUGCUCAGUCCGAAGAAGGAGCUUACCCUCUUCUGAUAAGUGAAUGGUAGCAUUGAUGGAGACUGGUUCAUCAUCUCGAUUUGCAGUCCAGACGACCGUGUUAUUAGGUUGACCCAUCAUCCAUAUUCCAACAGCAAAUCCAUUUCCCUGUGAAUAGAAGCCAAACGCAAAAUGGCCUGAAGGGGAGAGCCAUGAAUGCAUGUUAGAGAUGGGAGAUAACUGAGAACCUAAGUGUAUUUCACCAAAUUGGUUCGGUUGAGUUCUUGCUUCCACAAAGAGUAUCGAUAACAUUAGAAGCAGAAGCCCUGAUACCAAGGCCAUGGGGACAGGAGUGUGGUGUAAAGAGCCAAACAGAUACAGAAAAGCUAGCUAUUGUUGAGACUAUACUGGCUAAAUGUUAAUGUGAUGAAAAUUCUAGCAAACUUCAAAACUAAAACCGUGUGAAAUGAAAGAUUUGUUCACUAUUGGUACGUCUGCAACUUUUCUUAUAGUGGCCUAGUGUGGUCCACAAAAGUCUACCAAACGUGUUAGACCAGUUGGCUGAGAGAAGUCAUCAUCUUCCUUGAAUUGCAACCCUCCAAGUCAAGAUAAUAAAGCUUGAAUUGCAGUUUUAUCAUAGUAAAUAUUAUCCCAAUAAAUUUCUCAAGAAAUUUCAUCAGUUGUACUAGUAUUUAUAUAGUAAAAUUCUUAUAUGCCAUCAAUAUUUUGUAUAGGACUGAGAUUUAUAGUUUACGUUAAUUUUAUUUCUUAACAUUAUUAAUAGGUCAUUUAGCAUUUGGAAAUAUAUAAUGUUUUUAUAAAAUUUCAGCAAUACAUCGCUUUCUUUUACUUAUCGUAAUUUUCAAUUUCCUUUAUAGUUUUUUAUUUUUCAAAAUGAAUAUAUUGCUUUACUUUUUUUUUUUUAACUUAUAGUUUAUAGAUUCCUUAGCAUUACACACCUUCAUCUCUUAAUCUCUUAAACCAAGUUAAGAAAUUCAUUUGAUUUCCAAGCUUAGUUUCUCCUCGUAGGAAAAAAGAAAGAAAUAACAAGUAACAUAUUGAUCAUCCAUCAAUCCAUCAACAACAACAUGCUGUAAUGUUUCUUAGGAGUGGCCAUUAAUAAUUAUUCACGCCAGUUGACAUAUUGAAUUUGGAGAAGACAGAAACAUGUUCUUUACACCACUGCUUCCAUAACUUCUCCUCCCAUGAAAAACAACGAAUGAUUUUUUUGUUAGAACUACUACAACAGUAGGAUACAGAACUUUAUUAGUUUUCCUGCCCCCAAACUUAUGCCGAAGCUGAAGUUGGAUGUGGAGGAACAGAUACAUCGGUAAUUCCUUCUAACAUCAACACAACAGACUUUUGGUAGCUAUAUUUUUUCCUUAAAAAAUAGACAGUCCCGUAACCUUCGUGGUUGCUUGUAACAAGAAUUUUUUUUUCACAAAAUAUAAAGAGAGUUGUCCCUUUCUGAGAUGUAUGGUCUAAAAAAAAAAUCUUCUUAAUAGAAUAUUAAUUUUUUCUUUAUUCUUUGCAAGAAUAUUAAAUUCUUUAUUAUUCUUUACAAUUUUAUUAUAUAUAUAUAUAUAAAAAAACAUUCAUAAAACAAGUACAAACACACACAUACACUUUUACUAUAUUUUUUUCUGUUUUUCUUACUCACUACAAAUUAUACAAAUUAAAAAAAAAUACAAAGCAAAAUUUACAUUAAACACUUUAAAAAUUACAAAACAAACCCCAAAAAAUCCUUAAUAGUGUUGGGAAAUAUUCUGGAUCUGCAUAAACAAUGAUGGCGCGUUAAAAGUCGAACGCGUUCUAAACUUAUUCUUUAUACAUCGGAAAUGAUACAGAAUUUUAUUAGUUUUCCUGCCCACAAACUUAUGCUGAAGCUGAAGUUGGAUGUGGAGGAACAGAUACAUCGGUAAUUCCUUCUAACAUCAACACAACAGACUUCAUAGAAGGACGGAUACCUGGUUCAUCUUGAAUGCACCACAUGCCCACCAUAACCAUUUUCUCCAAAUUCUGCAAGUCUACAUCUUCGCCAAGAUCAAGCUUGUCCAAUUCUCUUGCAACCAUAAGCUCGUAUGCCCAAUUAGAAAGCAGAACUUCCUCUGGUCUUGAUACAUUAGUCUCUAUAUUUCUCCUGCAGAAAACAAUUUCCAAGAGCAUAACUCCGUAACUGUAAACAUCUGCCUUCACUGAUAUUGGAGUGUUCUUGUGCCAUUCAGGAGCCAAGUAACCUCGUGUCCCUCUGACUAUUGUGAAGGUUCUUGUUUGAUCAGGCACUAGCAAUUUUGCUAGCCCAAAAUCAGAGAUCUUAGCAUUCCAAAAAUCAUCCAUUAGAAUGUUUUGAGGCUUUAUAUCGCAAUGGAUGAUUGGUGCCUCACACUCUUCAUGUAGAUAUAGGAUCCCUCUAGCAAUAUCCAAAGCAAUCUUCACCCUGUGACUCCAAUUUGGAAUUCUUUCAGUUCGGAAGAGAAGAUCUGCAAGGGAACCGUUGCUCAUGUAUUCAUAAACUAGUAGCCUCUGGGAGUCCUCAGUACAGUAACCAAGUAGCCGAACCAAGUUUUUAUGAUGAGUUUUUCCAAUUGAACGCAUCUCUGUGAGGAACUCUCUUUCACCUUCACUGACCAACUUCUCUAGCCUCUUCACUGCAAUUACUGUUUUACCUUUGUAUAAUGUCCCUUUGUAAACUGCUCCAAAAGAUCCUUUUCCCAACUCUUCCCUGAAACCCUUGGUUGCAUUUUUAAGCUCACGAUAUGAAAAUGCUCUCAGGGAGAGCUCAUGGGCCAAGCCAAGAUUUCCGCUUCCCAACCGCAUUCUGGCCUUAACAACUCUUGACUUAGAGAUGAAAAAAGCAGAAACUGCAAUGGCAAUUGAAGAGCAUGUGAUGAAUGCUGCGCUCAUAACAAAAAUGAGAGUCACUGUCUUCUUGCUUGUCUUAUGGACCACUGGAGGCUUCAUUGCAGAUCCGACGCUCUUCAAACCCACCUUGAAGAAAACCUUUGAUGAGAUCAUCAUCUUCAUAUCUCCUAGCAUAUUUCACUGGGAACUUCACUUUCUUGCAGUCCCCAUUCGUACAGCGCACCAGCACAGUUACAGUCCUGCAAACAGGACUUUCUGCAAUCUUCUUCUGAUGACGUGAGUUUACAAAAUAAGGAAUGUCAUAACAAGUCAUUUUCUCCAUAUCAAUAAUGUUAUACGAGGAUGUUUCCUCUGCAACUUUGCACAACUCUUCAGUGUAGUUCCUCUCACACCCAUUAUAUCUCUGGUGGGAUGGACAGGAACAGUGCCAGGAAGACAGCGGCAGUCAGGUUGAUCAUCGUUCAUGGUGCAGUAGCUGUUGAGACCGCAGAAAGUCUUCACUUCGCAUUGAUUUUCUGGUGCAUGAUCUUUAAGAGAUGUAGUGUAGGCACCAUUGCUGUCGAAGUUAUGAGAAUACAAUUUAAAAAUUCCAUUGUUCUCCAAUGUUGCACGGUAGAUAAUGGAGCUGCUUUCCGAUUGUGAAUCAGGGUCGUAAAGCACAUAUCUCAUGACUAUGCCCGAGGUUUUGUUAAGGAUUAGCAGUUCUCCUGAAGUAUAAUUUAAAUAUAGAUGGGCACCAGAGGACCCAGAAGUUUCUGUGCUCCAAUAAGCAUCUGCUGAAGUAUCUGGAGUGUCUACGGGAUACAAAACUAGAUCCCCAUCACUUUGCAUUUUAAGACGAAACCUUCCUGUUGAAAAAUCGGUUGUAGAUGCACUGGAAAGCAGUUCACCCCCUGCAUAUAGAUUCUGGCCUCCUAAUAUUGUAUCGGUAGGAAAGUUGAAACUCUCCCAAAUGACAUCAGAAUGUUCAUUGUAGAGCACUAGAUUUCCAGAAUCAAGCAUGCGAGCGUUUGAAGCUGACUUCUCUAUCUUAGCAAUGAGUUUCUCUUCACCGGCCUCAUUGUUGGCAUAGUAAGUUCUUAAAAGAAGCUUACCGUUUACGGUUAACUCCAACGUUGCAUUUGAGGGCACAGGAGGGUCAUCUCGGUAUGCUGUCCAGGUGAUUAUAUCAGCUGGCUUACCCACCAUCCAAAUUCCCACUAUAAAGCCACUGCCCUGUGGGUAGAACCCAAAGGCAAAUGUGCCAGAAGGGGAGCGCCAUGAAGUUGGUUGGACGUUGGUGGAGAUUGAUGAACCUAAACUUAUCAAGUUUGAGUGGCUCUGCUGGGAAGUUACAGGUUUGUAA
rnacentral:lncRNA from 1 species